rnacentral:lncRNA from 1 species
AACCCUCAUGUCGGCAAACAUGAUUUUUCAGUGUCUGUAUAUUGGACUCAUACUUUCAUGUUUAGUUAUCACAACCCGCUAUUAUUGCCUAAUUAAAACCAUUAGCACACAAUAAAACCACCAAUUCCAUAUAUUAUUAUCCAAGGCUAUAAGAAGUGGCAUUGUCAUACCGACUAUAGCUUGUAAGGAAUUUUACUAGCCAAACCUUAGGGGAUUCCCAUGUACCCCACAUUAUUUCUAGUUAAAUAAAUAGUGGCUACCAAGACCUUACCAAGUCAUUUAAAACCAUUUAAACCAUUUAGGGUUCCAUUACUAAGUUAUGCAAAGCAAUAGUUUCAAUAAAAGUCAUACCAUAUGACAAAAUCAUUCUCAUAGGCAUUUUAAUAAACAUGUUUAGUACAUAUAUGUUCAAAAAAAAAAAACAAGUGACAAUUGACCAUUCCCAUACAACCACAUUUGCAAACCACCAUUAUAAUAUGUAAAACCAUAGAUAAAACAUGGGAAAAUAAUAUUUAUCCAUCAACAACCAAAACCCCCAACAUAUAAUUCAAAACCAAAUAAUGCCCAUAAUUGAAUCAUGAAAACCAUUCAUUAAAACAUGAAUUUAGUUGAACUAACAAUAAGGGAGGAGUAACAUGCUUAGAUACUGAAGAGGUACAGAGAGAAAUCACCUUGAAAGCCCCAUUUGAUAUGCUUGAUAAAAAUCCUAAGUAUUCUUGACGUUGAUGAUUUGGGAGUGUUUGAAAGUAUAUUUGAUGGGUUUUUUAUAGCUAAUGAUGCCCUACGAAAGUUAUAAGAUGUGGGUUUUAAGUUGGGCAACAGAGGAAAUGUCCAGAAUACCCUCAUCUUAAAAGCUAAAAAUUGUGCGUAGGAUGGUACUAUCACACCAUUCCAAAUCGUACCCACAACAUACAAGUGGUACCCACCACUCGUACCCUAUCCAGAAUAUUGGAAAUAACACACUGUCCACCAUACUACUUUCCUUGCUCAAGUCGUACCCAUACCAUACAAGUAGUACCCUCAAACCGUAUCCAAGAUAGAAUCUAAGGGGUUGACACUAGGCAACAUAUAAAUUGGACUAUACCACUCGUACCAUAUCAAUACAACCCUUAUAAUGUUUAUUCUUACCUUGGAAAGAAACCAACCAAAACCACAUUGAGUAACAUAUGACUAAGAUACCCUAGACCAUACCCACAUCAUACGACAAGUACCUCAAGCCGUAUGAUGUCCAAAAACUCAAAACUCUAGAAAUUUCUAAGGACCAGAACCUAGGGUGUUUCAAGUUAGACCUUAAAUCACCAUUUUCUCACUCACAGUAAGGAUGUUAGAUGAAGUGACCUAUUCUUUAGGAAGGUCGCCAUCAAACAUCUUUUCAUCUAUAACAUGGAUCUUUAGGAUAUUUGAGGAAAUAGACUUCUCAGGACUUUGUUCUUGAGAUGGAGAGACUUAGGGAGCUGGUUGUAUAGAUGAUUCUAGGUUAGUUUGAAUUCAAUUUCAAUAGGAGUAGAAAUAACUAGAGCGGGAUUGUUUGAGUUAUCCUUCGCUUCAUAUGAAGAUAGUAGCACAUUUUUAUCCUUCUUAGGAGGUGAGAGACUUACUUUACUUUAGGAGGAGUAAAUUUUACAAUGGCAAAAGGGUUUUGUAUAUCUAAAUUAAUAAGAGAAGAUAGAGGAUACAUAGAUGAGAUAGGGGUUGGUUCAGUUGGAGAUGAUGGAGAUGAUAAUGGGUUAGAUAUUUUAAUUUAUUUAUUUAAAUGUUAGGUGUUUGAAGAUGUGAAGAGUAAGAGAGUUUAGGAACUGAUAUUAUAGGAAUAGAAAUUUUAAAUAAGAAUUGAGGAAGAGCAGAUUUGGUUUAAAUAGAAAAUAAAAGGAACAAUCUGGAUUUCAAGAGGUGUAAUAGAUGAGAUGUGUCCAGUUGGAUGGACUUAUCUCUUGGGCUUAAAGUGAGUGUUUCUGCUUUUAAUAAUAGGUGGGAAGUAUAUGUGGCACACCUAUUGUUAAAUUUAAAAUGCUAAUGUUUAAGAAUAAAGCAUAGUGCUAACCUAAUGAGGGACCUGGUCCCUAUAUGAUUUUUCGAACCCAUAGUGCUUGAAGUUGUCUCAUAAACCUUUUUGAUCUUCUCUUCCUUACCAUGGGUUUAUAAUUGUAAAAUACAUGAGACUAAGUUAUAUAGAGGUAACACUAUCUUGCAUGAAUACCUGCUCAUCAAUUCAUAGCCAUCAUGGAGGAAUAAAAUAAACAACAAGCAAUCAACUUGGCCUCAUCAGACCCAACUUCAUUAUGUUUUUUUCAAAGUAUUCCCUUCCAAGAGCUUUAGUAAGGAUAUCAGUUAUCUGAUCCUCUGUGUUAUAGCUGACAAUUUUGAUCAAACCCUUCUCUACAUUAUCUUUGAGAAAGUGAUGUUUAAUGUUUAUAUGUUUGGUUCUCUUAUGUUAAGUUGGAUUCUUGAACAUAAUAAUAGUACUUGUGCUGUCACAAAAUAGAGGAACACAAUCUGAGAAAAUUCCAAAGACUUUAAUUUGAUGCUUGAUCCAAAGUAGUUGAGUACAACAUGAAAUAGUUGCUACACACUCAGCUUCAACAGUAGAAAGGGCUACUAGAUUUUAUUUCCUUGUACCCUAGGAUAUCAAGGAGGAUCCUAAGAAGUGAUCCAUUCGUGAAGUGAUCUUUCUAUCGACCUGGUACCAACAUAAUCAGCAUCAACAUACCCUACCAGGUCAAAACUGUCACCAGAAAGAUAGAGAAGGACCAGAUCGAGGGUUCUCUUGAAAUAUCUCAGAAAUUUUUUGGCAACCUUCAAGUGAGAUUCAUUUGAAUUUUCUUAAAUUCUAGCACACAUCCCUACACUGAACAAAAUGUCAGGUCUUCUAGCAGUAAGAUAGAGCAAUGAACCAAUGAUUUCACUAUACGUAGUUUCAUUUAUAGAGGAACCAGGUUCAUUCAUGUCCAAUUUUAAGGAUGUUCCAAUUGAAGAACUACACAAAUAAACUACUAGCCUAGGGACCUGGUCCCAACUAACGUAUGCAGUUAUGAACAAAAAUAAAAGUAAAGUAAACAUAAAAGAAUAAUGCACACAGAUAAUAUUUUAUGUGGAAACUCCUUACUCAAGGUAGAAAAAUCAUAACCUACCUCGUAGGAUUUCCAACCACUUCACUAAGCUCAAGGAACCUUGAAUACAGACUUCAUGGUUUAAAGAUUAAACUCUAAACUUUUCCUUAACUUGUAAUAACUCUAUUACAAUGAACUCCAAUGCAGUAACUUUAUUGCAUCCACUGACUCAGCUAACUCUAACUAAAUAGUAAUUAAGCUAACUCUAGCUCUUUUGACAACUAACUCUAGAUGAUACUUUUACUAUAAGAACUGAGAAAAAUUCACCUACAAAUAAUGAAUUAGAGCAGUAGACAAUGUUUACAAACAUAAAGCAAAGACUCCAAUACAAUAAGAGAUUAAGACACAAAAACGAGUUAAGUAGGUCCCUGUUACAUGUGAAUCUUUAAUCUGAUAGCUUCAAUAGAGAUUUGAUGUUGUAAGAAUAUGGAACCUUAAGUUUUAUUGUUGUAACAUGUUGUAUAUAUAAAAGACAAGAAAACAAAGGACGUCAGUGAUUAGUUAAACAAAGGCAAUAUUGCAGCUUUGCCACCAACCUUCUGCAAUCGGUACUUUUUCAGCUGUAAUACUGACCAAGUGAAAGCGACAUGAAUGCAAUCAACCUAGUCCCUAAGCAACUUUAGUUUUUCCAUCAAAAAGGUUAUAUAAACCAGGUCUCAAGUUGAUAAUUUUUCAAUCAUCAACACUAAAGACUUAACAAUCAUAACGUCAUAAAAUUUACAAAUCAAACUCAGUUUAUAAAGAGGAAGCCAUGAAAAAAUCUACACUAAUUAGAUGGAAAAACACGAACAAGGAUAAGGGAUGUGUCAUGAAUACAUGUAAUACCCCGUACUUUUCUUAGCUUGAAAUCGUCCCAAGAAAUCUAGAAGCUUGUUCUGAAAUAUGAAUCCACUUUUGUACACGUGGUAUUUUUAAGAUUUUCACUUUUUGUCAAGUAGGAAAUUGAAUAAGCUUUCCAUCGAUACUAAUUUCAUCAAAAUCCGACAUUAAAAGAGAAAGUUAUGGCUGAAAUACAGAAAAUAGUAAAACCGCCCAGGUGCGACGGUGAGGCUGAUGGACCGUCAGACUAGCGAAGGACCUUCGCCCACAAUCGUUGCAGCGAGGCAGUGUGAACACCUUCUACCCAGGAUCGACAGCCCAGGCUAACGAACUGUCGGACUAGCGACGGAUCGUCGCUCAGGCCGUCCCAAGGAAAACAGUGAGGCCUCAUUCUUCCUAGAAGCGACGGUCAGGACUGAUGGACCAUCGACCCAGCGACAGACCAUCGCACCCCACUGUCGCACCAAGGUAGUAAGUUCCAGUUUUUCUCCCAGUACGACAGUCAGUCUAACGUACCGUCGACCCAACGAUGGACCAUAGCACCCACCGUCGCAUAUUCCGUUCAGUUAUUUUAAAGCCAUUUUUAAAGGGUUUUUUGGUCUUUUACCACCCAUUUAUAUACCUAGUUAUAUCCUAUCAAAGCUCAGAAAUUUAUUAUCUAUCUACAAUAACAAAAUUAGGGUUUUCUUUCUAAGAUUAAUCCCCAAGAAUAAAAUCCAAAUCUUCUUCAAGAACUAAGAGAUUCCAAUCCUUCAAGUUUAAAAACUUCAAGAAUCUCAUUACUAGGUAUGCAUAGUGUUCAUUCAUGGACUCCUUUCGUCCAUGAAGCCCAAUAAUAUCUUUUUAAAGUUUAAGUGUAUGAAUUUUUGUAUGAAUUUCAUGUUGGGUUUGUUUUUGUUCUUGUUGAGAAUGAUCAAUUGAAUUCUAAUCUAUGUUGGGUGAUCAAUUUUAUGUGGAAUUGAUUAGUAUAGAUAUAGAUUCAUGUGACCUAUGAUUAAACCCUUGAUUAGUAUUUAUUGUAUAAUGUUGCCUACAUAUACUAUGCCUACCAUGUGUUUGAUUAAACGCCCAUGUGAAGGAAAAAUGACCAACUAAUAUGAUAUUAUAAGAUCCCCAUUUAUGUACAAGCUUAUGGAUAUCACAUGUUUGAUGAAUUGCCUCAAUAAAUAAAUUAUGGAUUCUGAUGUUGGUCAUGUAUUCAAGAAAGUCAUUCUUUGUCAGUUUCUUUUCAUUGAGUCCUGGGGGUACUUGUAACCAAAAAUUUAGCUGUGUGCCUAGAUCCAUGUCAUGUUUUCACGGUAUCCUCAAUCAAGCCAUGAUCCAUAGAACUCAGUCAGUCAUGUGACUUAGUAAAGCUCAAUAAUUCCAUAACCUCAGUAAUCUCACGAACUCAGUCAGUUGUCAAAUAUCAAUAGUAUUUUAUCAGUUAACAGAAUUUAGUAAACUCAGUCCAUGUUUAGAUCAGUUAAUCAUGUUCAGUGUCUGUUCAGAUGGGAGUAGAAAUUAUCACCGAGUAAACCCAAGGAUGGGAACUCACAUGCCAGUAGAAGGUGUGAUUCUUAGAAGCAAUCCUUGCAUUCCAGAACUACGUAGCCAGUGUAGGUUGAGACAUCAUACCUACUAGUUGAGGGUAGAUGAGGUGGCUUAACCUGCUAGUUGAGGGUUCCCACCGUUCUUAUUAGAGUAACCUACUAGUCGUGGGUCACUCACAUGUUGCCCUUACCAGUGGCGCUGUAUUGACACCCUUCCAAUCAGGGCACGGAUCGGACCCUGAUUCAGCUAUAAUACAUUAUUUGGGGCAUAUCAAUUAUAUGAAUACCUCCCACAGUUUCAGUAUCAGUAAAAGAACUCAGAUAGUUCUUCAAAUUUUAGGAUUGUCAAAUACAAUCAACUUAGAUACAGUAUGAAACUCAACUAGUUCCAUUAGAUUCAGGACUGUCAGAUACAGUCACUCAUGUUAUCAGUUAUAUCAGUUAUCAGUAUGUCAUACUAUCAGUAAUCAGAAUCAGAAAUCAUGUUAUCACGACCUCAGUUACAGUUACUAUGUAUUCAUGCAUGCAUUCUCACGUUCAUAUCAUGCAUAUGAACCCCAUUCAUUAAGCCUACCUCACAUGCAUACCAGUGUAUUCAAAGUACUGACGUAUUUUCGCUAUGGUGUCUUAUACCAUAGAUUCAUAGGCACAAGUUCCAAAGCAUCAGUAGCAUUCCAGUCUUAAUAGUCAGAGUUAGCAGUGAGUCCUCAUCUUUCGAGGACAUGAUCAUUAUUUUAUUAUCUCAUUAGUUAAUUUAUUAGUUGGAGUUAGUUGGGAACAUGUCCCAUCAACUCCUUAUUCAGACAGUCAUGUUUUAAAGAAUUUUCAGACUACAGUAUGUUCAGAUAGUUUAUUUCAGUUGUUUUGGGUAUUUCAUACCCCACUCAGAUGUUAUACUUUUGCAGAUCCCAUGUUAUAGUUUUGAACCUUAUGGCCUUUCAGUUCAUGUUUCCAUAAUUAUACAGUAUAUUAUGCAGUAUACAGGUACAGAUAUCAUUCAUGGGUUAGAUUGUGGUCCUUCGGGGUCAUGAGCACCGUGUAGCAUUUCAGGUACCAGAUUUGGAGCGUUACAAUACACUUUAAUAAUUGAUGAAAUAUUAUAUUUAUAGAGGAUUUUGUUUUAACCCUAGAUCAUCAAGAAGGGUGUCACGUCCCAAAAUAAUAUCCAAAUGUGAUUGGCUCCCGCUAACACCAUCUGUCGGGAGAACCAAUCUUCCUUACACCUUAUCAGUUGAUAAGUACUAAAAUAACGUAUGCAGCUCCAACGCAUCAAUAAAUAACAAAUAGUAAUUCAAUAAAAAAAUUCGUAAUCAAACUUAAAUUCAACAAUCACUCGAGAACUUAAUUUUGGUCCCAAAUCUCACUCUAAGACAUGGAGCAUCUGAAAUAGAGUUACAUGAGUUCAAUCUUCAGGCAUGAAAACCCGAUGAAAAAAAAAACAUAAACUAGAUAAUCAAAGAUGAAACGAAAGCCUCCACGAACAAUGUGAAGGCUCACCUUAACAAUAGAAUCCUUACGAAGGAACCGGCACCCACUAAUUUCACCUUGCGCAGUAGUAUCUGCAGACAUGUAAGUAAGGAGUAAGCUAUAUAUAAAUAUAACUUAGUAAGAUCAUCAGCUCUAAGUACUCCUGGGACAAGUAUUAGAAAAUACAACAACACCAAGAACAUAAAUUUAUUACACAAUAUCACAAUAAGGUGACUAACGAGGCCCAACAAUCCUUCAUCAAGAACCAUAUACCUCAAUACAAUUCAUACAAAGCACUUUUCAUAAUUUGUAAUUAAAGUAAUUAGCCAAUACCAUACAUUUCCGGCAACAUAAACAAUGCGUCAAAUAUAUCAUGAGUAUACACAGUACUCAGGAAAGCAUACCCAAUGCUCAAGGAAAGUAUACUCAAUGACCAAGAAAAGCAUACUCAAUGUCCCAACGAAAUUAAGAAGCAUACACUAUGCCCUAAUGAAAUUAAGAAGCAUACUUAAUGCCUCAAUGAAAUUAAGAAUCAUACACAAUGCCUCAAUAGAAUUAAGAAGCAUACAUAAUGCCCCAGUGGAAUUAAGAAGCAUACACAAUACCCCAAUCUCACAGUACAUAAUCACAUCACAUCACGAAAUAAUUUAUAAAGGAAAAAUUAGUAUUCUUAAACAUAAAGUAUAUGUGGUUGGCCUUGAAGACCAUCGAUUCUGCCAAGCACACGCUCGUCCCAACACAUGGAUCAGGCAGACAAAAACAUAUUUUAAAAAUAAAUUUGAAAAACAAGUACCCAAAGCUUAAAGUCUCAUUUACAUCGCUAAUGACAAAUUUCCAACCUUGCUACGCAUAGAACACCAACCAAACAACCUUUAAUAGCCUCAAUCUAUACAAAAAUAUUAAUUGAUGAUAUUAAUAAUUGUGCAAGUCGGUACCAUUUCUUAAUAUCUCUAAUUUUCAAGUUUAAAGAUAAACUAUAAAUUAAAGAGAAAAUUAUUUAUAUAACACAGCCCAUUAAUAAAUCAUCUAUUAAAUAAAUUAACACCUAAUCUCAAAUAGCAAAUUGUGCAUGAAAUUUUUUUUAAAAGAAAUUUGCACUUCUAUAGCAACUAUAUAGCCUCAUAGUAGCCAACAGUGCAGCCUUCAACUGCUAAAAGAAAAUCCCACCAUCAUCAUUGGUCAAUGAUUACUUAUUCAACAAUCAUUAUCACAUCAUGGAUAGAUAUUUCUAUAGUCAUUACUCUAAUCACCACUAUAUCUAUUACAAUGGUAGGCAAAAGUUUCCACAUUUAAUAAUUCUUAAGCCCUCAUGCGAAUGUAUAUCAAUAUAAAUAUUACCUGUAGAUUCAUACUUGAUACUUGAGCAGUGAUUCAAAGAUUCUCCUUGUGUUUGGUUAUAAACUUUCAAGAGUUUUUUUCUCCGCAAGUUUUUUUUUUCUUUCAAAAAUAAAGGAAUCAAGAAGCCCUAAUAUUCUAUUCCUCUGAACUAAAACGUGAAAAAAAAAAUGAAUAGGAGAGAGGGUUUUGAUUUUUGGCUUGCUCACUUUAAUUUUCUUAAUUAAUAUAAUAAUAUAGGCUAAAUUACUCAUUUACCUCUCAUUAAAAAGUCUAAGAUAUUAUAAAGGGAGUGGACCUAACAUAAAGAGGUAACAAUUACAGAGAUUAAUGAAUUUAAUCAGUCUUACAUACCUCGGAAACGAAGAAGAACUUGUGAUGGGAAUUGGAAGUAACUUCUCUUGAUUCUUGUGAUGAUUCUCUUGACUUCACUAUAAGGAAAAAGGCACCACUAUUUACAUAUGUUACAACAUUCUCCUCUAUUUCAUUCACUUCUCCACCAUAACAGCAACCAAUUCUCCCACCAAACUCCAUCUCCUUCACUCAACCAUAUCACUGCCACCCACAAUGCUCCAUUAACAUACCACUACAGCCAUUCUCACACACAACACCAAAUACACACACGACACAGCAACAACACCGCAACCAACUUACUCCGUUAACAACCAAGGUCCAGCCACUGCAACUCCACCCAAAACCAACAAUUCACUAAUGUUGGACGGAGUGGGGUGCGAGUGUCAACGUGCGAUGGUGUAAAAGACUGGGUUGGGUCUAUUUGGUGUCUCGUCGGUGAGGGUUUACUAGCGAUGGUGUCCUAAAACAGCGAAGAGCUAGGGUGGAGUCCGAAGGAAGUUUUCAGAUUCGUAAAUGGAGAUUGAAAAUGCUGAUGUUAAUGGAGAUACAUAAGAAUGAUGCAUCUGUUAAGAAAGUCUGGAGAUACAUAACAAAUUAAGAAUGAUAUAUCUAGUUGAAAAGGACAAGAAGAUACAUCACGUGAUCCUCCAUCAAAUAUAUAAAAGUUAUGUAUCUUACUGAAUAUUAGGUUACAGAUACAUAAGAAAGAUGUUUUUCGUUGAAAAUCUGACAAAAAUCAUGUAUUGGAAUACUUUUUGUGUUACUGAUACAUAAGACUUAUGUAUUUGAAUGUAUCUCUGUGAUAUUAAUACAUAAGAAUUAUGUAACGGUACUUAUGUAUAAGAAAGAUUAUGUAUCCAAGCCUUAGUAAUGUAUCUGAAAAUUAAAAUUCGAAAUCUUAUGUAAUUAUCAAAAGAGUGAAUAUAAUUAGGUACGAAGCAGUUGAGAUUUAUGAAAGUUGCUCUUACAUAAAUCUAUAUAACAUUAAAAUUGGAAAGCUCUUUAGACAAAUUCUAACGUGAUAACCCUAUUUUAAUAAUAAUGAAAGAAAACUAAGGCUUACCCUACUAAUGAAGAGAUGGCAACGCCUCAUCGGUUGUUUUAAUGUAUUUCAUAGGUUAUUAUUAGCAUAUUAUUUAUAGUUGAGUACAUCAAAAGAAGACAUGCAACCAUGUCUUACAUACUACAUCAGUCUUGCAAAUUUGUCGGAUCAUAUUUGAAGGUUAGAUUUGCAGAAUUUGUAUUUUUAUAAAAUUUCAAGUUUUUUUAUAAAAAGAAUCGCGAUAAUUACUUUGCAAAAAAAUAAAAGUGCACAGGAUGGAAUUCUUUAAUAGCUUUGAAUAAGAUUGUCGUUUUUUCACCUCUUAACAUUGUUUACCAGUUUGAAAUUUACGAAGAGGCAUAGUAGAUGUGAAGAGGCAGAUGUGUAUAAUUAAAGUAGAUGACAUAUUUUAUGUAGUUAAUUAUUUAAUAGAAAAAUGAAGACGCGUGCAAAAGUUUUUUGAAACUUUUAAUCGAAAGUAUCUAAUUAAAACACUUUAUUAAGAGUUGAACUAUUUAAUUGAAUAAUGAAUUAAUUAGUUGGAAUAUCGAAAUAUAAUAUCCGGACAAGUUUAUGGGGUUGAUUAUGUGUUACGCCAAAUAUUUAUAAUAUGUGGAUAGAAAAGAAACAUAAACAGAUUAUCGACAAAAAAUGUGAAAAAUAUGAAAUGUUUACAGUCGAAAGAGGUCUAACCAUAAAGGAAAUAAAACUAAAAUAUCAAAAUUAGACAUAAAAUAAGUAAAAGAUGCAUAUUCAAAAUAUGUAUCUGGGUAGACAUUUUUUUGCGAAUACUUCAAACCAUGAAAACUAAAAACAGUCAUGUCAAACUAUAUUAACACUAGUUUUGCUUACCACCAAAUUAAAAGUUGUGGUGGGAUAAAUUGUCCUUUUAUCUGUACGUAAAGGUUUAAAAUUUGAGUCUUGAAAAUAUAAAAACUAAUUGUGGCGAGAAAGAUAGAAUUCGUCCGUCGUUAAGCAUAAGUCUAGAUUGGAGCCUUAGGAAGAGUAUUUUUUGUGGAAAGUAUUUCCCUCAUAGAUAGAAACAUGUACUUUAAACUUUUGUGUAUAUUAUUUAUUCAGAAUUUAAUUUUAAUAAAAUUGAUAUUUAUUUUAAAAUAGCUAUCCUAUAGUAUUGUAUGGUUUGAAGACCUAAUACUCUUUGUGGAGAGUUUAGUGAAGUUUUCAACUUGUCAAAUUCUUCAUUCUUGAUAAAUAAGUCGUCAUACCAUGUCCAUACUGAUCAUAGAAAAAUUUAUAUUUAAUUUUUUAUUCAUGAUUAUCUAUUCAAAAUUUUAUUUAAUAAUUUUGAUUGAAAUUAUUUUAUAAAAAUUGCACACUACAUGAUUCGAAAUAUACAUGCCGAGAAACUAGAAAUGUAUUAUUAUCCUAUAUAAUACUACUUUUAUUUUAAUUUGUAGGGGGGUGCGCGGAUUUAUAGGUAUAAUAGGUAUAAUANNNNNNNNNNNNNNNNNNNNNNNNNNNNNNNNNNNNNNNNNNNNNNNNNNNNNNNNNNNNNNNNNNNNNNNNNNNNNNNNNNNNNNNNNNNNNNNNNNNNNNNNNNNNNNNNNNNNNNNNNNNNNNNNNNNNNNNNNNNNNNNNNNNNNNNNNNNNNNNNNNNNNNNNNNNNNNNNNNNNNNNNNNNNNNNNNNNNNNNNNNNNNNNNNNNNNNNNNNNNNNNNNNNNNNNNNNNNNNNNNNNNNNNNNNNNNNNNNNNNNNNNNNNNNNNNNNNNNNNNNNNNNNNNNNNNNNNNNNNNNNNNNNNNNNNNNNNNNNNNNNNNNNNNNNNNNNNNNNNNNNNNNNNNNNNNNNNNNNNNNNNNNNNNNNNNNNNNNNNNNNNNNNNNNNNNNNNNNNNNNNNNNNNNNNNNNNNNNNNNNNNNNNNNNNNNNNNNNNNNNNNNNNNNNNNNNNNNNNNNNNNNNNNNNNNNNNNNNNNNNNNNNNNNNNNNNNNNNNNNNNNNNNNNNNNNNNNNNNNNNNNNNNNNNNNNNNNNNNNNNNNNNNNNNNNNNNNNNNNNNNNNNNNNNNNNNNNNNNNNNNNNNNNNNNNNNNNNNNNNNNNNNNNNNNNNNNNNNNNNNNNNNNNNNNNNNNNNNNNNNNNNNNNNNNNNNNNNNNNNNNNNNNNNNNNNNNNNNNNNNNNNNNNNNNNNNNNNNNNNNNNNNNNNNNNNNNNNNNNNNNNNNNNNNNNNNNNNNNNNNNNNNNNNNNNNNNNNNNNNNNNNNNNNNNNNNNNNNNNNNNNNNNNNNNNNNNNNNNNNNNNNNNNNNNNNNNNNNNNNNNNNNNNNNNNNNNNNNNNNNNNNNNNNNNNNNNNNNNNNNNNNNNNNNNNNNNNNNNNNNNNNNNNNNNNNNNNNNNNNNNNNNNNNNNNNNNNNNNNNNNNNNNNNNNNNNNNNNNNNNNNNNNNNNNNNNNNNNNNNNNNNNNNNNNNNNNNNNNNNNNNNNNNNNNNNNNNNNNNNUAUUAUACCUAUUAUACCUAUAAAUCCGCGCACCCCCCUACAAAUGGUAUCAAAUCUAUUAUACCUACCUAUAAAUCCGCGCACCCCCCUACAAAUGGUAUCAGAGAUUUAGCUGCUCCUUUACCAUUUACAGGCUCUAGUAUUAUUGUUGGUGUUGGUGUUGGUGUUGUUCAUCUUGAAAUUUAUAAUAAUUCCAUUUUGAACUCUUCACCAGUAUUUCAUUUCCCUAAAUUAUGUGUGAGCCCUGGUGACUUUGGGUUGUGGUGAUUAUGGUGUUUACCUGGUGGAGAUUGGCCGGAAAAAAUCGCGAUUGUUUUUUGGGCCGAAAGUCGGAGCCCAUUUCUUUCACCGAAAAAAUGGUGGGCUUGUUGUUUGGUGGCCAUGCAAUAGCUAAUUCACUCGAAAAGAGGUGGAGUCUUCCAAAGUUGUAUUAAAAUUAUAUUAAAUAUAAAUAUCGUUGUAAUAUAAUUCGAAUUUAAUUUUGUACAGUGUUAUGAAUUUGGUAAUUGUUUCGUAACAAAAAUAAUACACUUCUAACAACGUAAGCUAAUUUAAAUUGUAAUGAAAUAUUUGAAAUUCACAGUAAUACUUAUAAUAUAUUUGUAUUAAAAUAUUUAGUUAUAUAUAUUUACUAUGUAUGUUGAAAAUAUGUAUAAUAUAGUGAAUUCAAAAUAUAUUCUAAUUGUAGUUUACUUUUUCUCUUAUUAAUGAUGCUAAAAAUGUUUAUAUCUGAAUUUCAACCAUUUAAAUAAUAUUUACAUUAGUUUGUGUGUUUAUAGUUAAGUUGUAUUAGAAAUAUAUCAUAUAUGUAUUUGGCUAUAUUUAAUAAGAAAAUUGGUUACAAUCUGUACAGUAAAAGACGUGCUAUGAUUUGUAAAUAAGGUUGUAUGUUAUACCAUUUAUAUAAAUUGGCCGUAGGCAUUUUGGAUGGUAGCUCGUCUAAUCUGAUUGUCUCUCUGUAAAGCAUACAUAACGUUUUAUUUGGGACUCGAAUUGAUGCGUGGUUAGUCGUCUUGAAAAGAAGACUCAAAAAUCGUUAAUUUGGUGGGUGAGUGAUAACUCUUUAUAUUUAAGAAGGAAUGCUCGUUUAAUUAACCCUAUAGAAACUUAAAGGAAAAUUCAAUUGUUAGAAAUGUUUUACUCAACUUUGUGUUAGGGAUUUCUUAUGAUCUUAAUUCACAUUCAAUACACUUCCUACACUUAAGGAUUCACCUUCCUACCUAGGUACAGUAAAAUUUAUUGGGUUUGGAUCUACUACCGUAUCUCUAUAUAGGGUUGUGCAAAAAUCGAACCAAUAAAAAUGUUAUUCGGUUAUUGGUAUUGGGUUAUCGGGUUACCGGUAUUUUAUUGGUUUUAUAAAAAAAAUUUAUUGGGUAAACGGUUCGAUAUCGAUUUUAGCUUAUUGGGUAAUCGGUUAAACCGAUAACCCAAUAAGGAUACACUAAGUUAUUGUUUAUCCCUAUUUAUGUUAUAUAUUUAAAUCUCUCUCUCUCUUGAUCUAUCUAUCUCUCUAUAUAUAUAGAAAGAGAGAAAUAUAUAUAGAUGUGUGUAUGUAUAUAUAUUAUAUGCACUACUAAUUCAUAAUUCAAUGAUUCACAAAGUAUUAACCUAUUCAGGGCAACAAAGGCACAAUAUAAAGUUCGGCUAUUAUAGUAAUUAAAAGCUUGAAGCAUUUAUAGCCUCCAACAAUUAGGAUUCAAUUUUUUUCCUAAAUAACAUUCAGUUCAAGUUUCAAGAUUCUUGUAAAUUAAAAUACAUUGCGUAGGUUUUGGCGGUAAUUAAGAUUUCAUUUUUUUAUAUUAGUUGUUACUAUUUCUAUUUUAUAAGUAUUUUCUUAUUGGUUAAACCGAAAACCAAACUGUUAAGGACCAAAAAUCGAUAAAUCGAAACCGAUAAGAAAAUAUCUUAUUUAUUGGUUAUUGGUUUUACAUAUUUAAAAACUGAAAACUGAUAAACCGAAUCAAUAACACGUAAAACCGAAUUGAACCGACCGGAGCGCACUCCUAUCUCUAUACUUAGAACAGGUCAAAUAUUAGCCUGAAAAUUUGAGGUGUUACAUAAAUUCAGGAAUAUGUGACCUCUUUUACCAAUUACCAUCCAGCAUAAGUUUAUCAUUUAUAACAAUAUCUGAAACUACAGCAGCUUGAUUUGUAAACAAUAACGUAAAAUUCAAUUGCACCAACCAACCAAAAAAGAUAUCACCCAUUUUGAUCCUAUGUACUACCAUAUGUCACUCAAUUUUUACAUGUCUCAAACCAUUAUUCAAAAACAUAGCUUCUUUAAAAUCUCAAACCACUAUUUCACAAUUUUUACUGCUAUUAAAAUGUCUGAGAAGAUGCAAAGAACCAUACCUUUUUUUAUCUAUAUUAGUGUGAUGAACUCAACAUAAAAGAGGCAAACACAAUUCCAGAAAUUCGAGAAAUUUCACUAAAAUUGAGAAAUGAACAGUACUCAAUAGUAAUAACUGAAAUUCGAAAUAAUUUAACCGUAAUUUAAACUAUAUUUGAACAAAAAAUUAAUUCAAAAAACUCGAUGACUACUCAGCCACCAACGAUUUCAAUAAAUUCAGCUCAAAUCCAACUGAAUUAAUCUUCAUUCCUCAUACAGCAAUCAAAUUAAAGAUCAGAUCGAGUCCAAUUAAUCCUAGAUAAUCUCAAUUUGAGUUGAGUUCCAUAGAAAAUGAAAUUUAGAAAUUAAGAGAGAAGGAAAGAGUGAGAUCAGAUGUGGGAUAAAGAAAGAGAAAGGGAGAAAGAAAGAGAUGGAAGAGCACAAGUUAAGUGCAUACUAGUUUUUACAAUGCCCUCUCAUUUUGGAUUAUUUUGUAUAUAUGUGUUCCUUUGAUGAAUCUUUACCUUUGAUCUGCAUUUAAUCUCCACCCUUGGUUUCUAACUAACUCAACCUUUAUUAAUUGAGUCCAAACGACAGCAUAUUACUUAAUUAAGCUAAAAUUUUAUAUUCGGAUCAUUACAUUCUACCCUCCAUGAAAAUAUUUUUUUCCUCAAGAAUGUGAUGCUGAUUGUUGAAUGAAGUCAGGAAAUUAUGCUUCGAUGAAAGACCAAUCUUCCUAUGUGACCUCCUCAAGAUGAAAUUUUCCCAUUGCACCUUAACGACCACAACAUUAUUUUCUUUCACCAUUUUUCUUCGUAAAAUAGUCAUAGGCCUAACUAGCAUUUUUCCAUUGGUACCCACUAAGGGUAGUUGAUGUUAAGGUAUAAUAGUAGAAUCAAUCCUUUUCUUUAAAAAUGAGACAUGAAAAAAUGGGUGAACUAGGGAAGUUUCAGGAAGUAACAGUUUGUAAGUGUCACACCUCAAAUCCUAUUGGGGCGGACUGGCACCCGUAACCGAGGAGGCCCGGGAGAACCAGCUCAUAACCUUAUACUUCCCAUGCAUACCUCUAUGACAACCCGAAAUUCGGACAGCAUCAUGUUGCAUAUAAAAGGAAAUAAUCACCUCUAUAAGCUCAAGCACACAUAUAUAUGUAUAUACAAUACUUGGCCGUUGGAGUCAUCACGUCUAUUAACAAAACACCACCUUGACUGUACAUUAGGUCUACAAAGCCUCUAGACAAUACACAGAGUUUAACUAAGGUCGGGACACNNNNNNNNNNNNNNNNNNNNNNNNNNNNNNNNNNNNNNNNNNNNNNNNNNNNNNNNNNNNNNNNNNNNNNNNNNNNNNNNNNNNNNNNGCUCCUACUUGUGCGGUGUAUGAGCUGAGGUACCUGUGCCUGCAGCAUGAAAUGUAGGUCCCCCGUGGGGGACGUCAGUACGAAAUAUGUACUGAGUAUGUAAAGCUGUAGAUAAUCACAUAUGAUAUAGGAGCUCAAAAGAAAUCAAAAACAAGUGAAUAAAUCGUAAUAGGAGUGGACCACACUUACUAGAACUUGUGACAACCUAUACAUUGUAUUUAUUCAAUCAUUUUACCUUCGUUCUUAUCAUCUUUGUAAUCAUUACUGUACUGUACUGUGACCAUUAGGCUGCCUCCAGUACAUAUCAACUGGGAUCGACCCAUGAUAGGCUUAUGCCCCUGGGAUACCACCCAUAAACACAUAAAUAGGGAUCGACCCAAAGGGAUAAUUCAAAGGGAUUUCAUUUCAUAUAAAUUAGGCCACCAGUUCGUCCUGUACAAGGAGUUAUGAUCGUUUGAAGUUGACCCUAAAAAUCUGUUUUGAGAGGCUGUAGUAAAACGAGUAUAACUCCUUACUCAGAUGUUGGAUUUGGAUGAAACCAAUUGCAUCGGAAAGAAGACUCACAGAUAUUUCUUUUGAUAUGUGGUAGCUCUCCCAGUUCAUUAUAUUGAGGGAGUUAUGAUCGUUCAAAGUUGACCCAAAAAACUGGCAGGCCUCAGUAGUUUGUGUGCAGGAAAUUUUCCUGCACAUUUACUGUUCACAACAUCCCGGCCACCGUUUUAUAGUUUCGAACGUGCUCGAUUAUAUCCGAAACUUAUCCGUUUUUGGAAAUCUUUAUAUCAUUGGAAAGAUUAUUCAAUAACCUUCGUAUGGAACCAUCGACGGGCAAAUUCCGGUAUAAAUANNNNNNNNNNNNNNNNNNNNNNNNNNNNNNNNNNNNNNNNNNNNNNNNNNNNNNNNNNNNNNNNNNNNNNNNNNNNNNNNNNNNNNNNNNNNNNNNNNNNNNNNNNNNNNNNNNNNNNNNNNNNNNNNNNNNNNNNNNNNNNNNNNNNNNNNNNNNNNNNNNNNNNNNNNNNNNNNNNNNNNNNNNNNNNNNNNNNNNNNNNNNNNNNNNNNNNNNNNNNNNNNNNNNNNNNNNNNNNNNNNNNNNNNNNNNNNNNNNNNNNNNNNNNNNNNNNNNNNNNNNNNNNNNNNNNNNNNNNNNNNNNNNNNNNNNNNNNNNNNNNNNNNNNNNNNNNNNNNNNNNNNNNNNNNNNNNNNNNNNNNNNNNNNNNNNNNNNNNNNNNNNNNNNNNNNNNNNNNNNNNNNNNNNNNNNNNNNNNNNNNNNNNNNNNNNNNNNNNNNNNNNNNNNNNNNNNNNNNNNNNNNNNNNNNNNNNNNNNNNNNNNNNNNNNNNNNNNNNNNNNNNNNNNNNNNNNNNNNNNNNNNNNNNNNNNNNNNNNNNNNNNNNNNNNNNNNNNNNNNNNNNNNNNNNNNNNNNNNNNNNNNNNNNNNNNNNNNNNNNNNNNNNNNNNNNNNNNNNNNNNNNNNNNNNNNNNNNNNNNNNNNNNNNNNNNNNNNNNNNNNNNNNNNNNNNNNNNNNNNNNNNNNNNNNNNNNNNNNNNNNNNNNNNNNNNNNNNNNNNNNNNNNNNNNNNNNNNNNNNNNNNNNNNNNNNNNNNNNNNNNNNNNNNNNNNNNNNNNNNNNNNNNNNNNNNNNNNNNNNNNNNNNNNNNNNNNNNNNNNNNNNNNNNNNNNNNNNNNNNNNNNNNNNNNNNNNNNNNNNNNNNNNNNNNNNNNNNNNNNNNNNNNNNNNNNNNNNNNNNNNNNNNNNNNNNNNNNNNNNNNNNNNNNNNNNNNNNNNNNNNNNNNNNNNNNNNNNNNNNNNNNNNNNNNNNNNNNNNNNNNNNNNNNNNNNNNNNNNNNNNNNNNNNNNNNNNNNNNNNNNNNNNNNNNNNNNNNNNNNNNNNNNNNNNNNNNNNNNNNNNNNNNNNNNNNNNNNNNNNNNNNNNNNNNNNNNNNNNNNNNNNNNNNNNNNNNNNNNNNNNNNNNNNNNNNNNNNNNNNNNNNNNNNNNNNNNNNNNNNNNNNNNNNNNNNNNNNNNNNNNNNNNNNNNNNNNNNNNNNNNNNNNNNNNNNNNNNNNNNNNNNNNNNNNNNNNNNNNNNNNNNNNNNNNNNNNNNNNNNNNNNNNNNNNNNNNNNNNNNNNNNNNNNNNNNNNNNNNNNNNNNNNNNNNNNNNNNNNNNNNNNNNNNNNNNNNNNNNNNNNNNNNNNNNNNNNNNNNNNNNNNNNNNNNNNNNNNNNNNNNNNNNNNNNNNNNNNNNNNNNNNNNNNNNNNNNNNNNNNNNNNNNNNNNNNNNNNNNNNNNNNNNNNNNNNNNNNNNNNNNNNNNNNNNNNNNNNNNNNNNNNNNNNNNUAAAAAAUUAAUUCCAUAUAAAUAAGACCAAUACAUGUACUUGAAUAUGGGGUGUUAUAUCCUUCCCCCCUUUAUGACAUUCGUCCUCGAAUGUUAGCGUAUUUAUUCAACCAAAAAAAGUUCAAGUCCAUCAUUAAUAUUCACGUCAUCACAUAAAUACUAUGCAUCUAUAAAAAAAAAGCUUACUUGUUAAUGUUCUAACUCCGUUUCUUAAACUUCCUCUUCAUCUUUGAACAAAUGAGGGUACUUAGAUUUCAUUGCUUCCUCAGCUUCCCAUGUAAUCUCUUCCCUUUGAUGAUUUCUCCAACGUACUUUCACAGAUGCUAUCUCUUUAUUUCUCAUCUUCUGAACUUGGCGAUCUAGAAUAGCAAUAGGCACUUCCUCAUAGGUAAGAUCUUCCGUAACUUGCACACCCUCAGUAGAAGUGAUAUGCGAUGGAUCUCCAAUGCACUUUCGAAGCAUUGACACAUAAAAUACCAAAUGUACUGAUGAAAGCUCUUGGGGUAGCUCUAAUUCAUAUGCAACUUGUCCAAACCUUCGAGUGAUCUUAUACGGGCCUAUAUAACGUGGACUCAACUUUCCUUUCUUGCCAAAUCUCAUUACACCUUCAAAAAUACUCAAUCACCUAUAGAAAACUCUAGCCCUUUCCUUUCUCUAUGGCUUGAUAAACAAGAUCCGGUCCGAACAAAAGAGUUUCACCCACUUCGAACCAUCCUAUUGGUCCUAUUGGUGAUCUACACUUUCUCCCAUAUAAAGCUUCAUAUGGUGCCAUUUUGAUACUUGAAUGAUAGCUAUUAUUGUAGGCAAACUCAAUAAGAGGUAAAUGAUCAUCCCAGCUGCCUUUAAAAUCUAUAACACAUGCUCGUAGCAUAUCUUCAAGUGUUUGAAUGGUGCGCUCUGCUUGUCCAUCCGUCUGAGGGUGAAAAGCUGUACUCAGAUUCACUUGUGUUCCCAAACCCCGUUGGAAAGACUUCCAAAAGUUUGCAGUAAAUUGAGUUCCCCGAUCCGAUAUAAUAGAAGUUGGCACUCCAUGUAAUCGGACUAUUUCUUUAACAUACAGCUUCGAAUAUUCUUCAACUGUGUAAGUGGUCUUAACGGGUAAGAAAUGUGCGGAUUUAGUAAGCCUAUCCACAAUCACCCAUAUAGAAUCAAAUUUUCGAGCUGUACGAGGCAAACCUGUAACAAAAUCCAUGUUGAUCAUGUCCCACUUCCAAAUUGGAAGAUCUAUGCAUUGCAUAUAGCCUCCGGGUUUUUGGUGCUCAACUUUAACUCUUUGACAAUUUGGACAUUCAGCUACAAAUUCUGCAAUGCUCUUCUUCAUGUCAUUCCACCAAUACAUAUCUUUCAAAUCUUGAUACAUUUUGGUUGAUCCUGGAUGAAUGGAAUACCUUGAAAAAUGUGCCUCUGUCAUAAUCUUCUUUCUUAGCCCGUCUAUAUCCGGCACACACAAUCGGUUUUGGCACUGAAGUACUCCUUCUCGCGUAAGCUCAAAUGCCUUGGUCGCACCACUCUGAACGUUCUCCUUAAGCUGUAAUAAAAUAGGGUCUGCAUAUUGCUUCUCUUUCACUUCAGCUACUAAUGAAGAUUCCGCAGCAUUAUGUACGAUAAGCUCUUUAUUCGGAGUUUCAAGAAGGCGAACUCCCAAACUAGCUAAUUGGUGAAGACCUUUAAUCAUCCCUUGCCUUUCUAUAGGCGCCAUCAUAGUCUUAUGACUUAACACAUCAGCUACCACAUUUGCUUUCCUUGGAUGGUACAAGAUAUCAAUAUCGUACUCCUUUAUUAGUUCAAGCCAUCUCCGCUUCCUUAAAUUCAGAUCCUUCUGAUUACAACUAUAUUGCAAGCUCUUAUGGUUAGUAUAUAUAUCAACAUGAACCCCAUAUAAGUAGUGGCGCCAUAUCUUUAAAGCAAAAAUAACUGCUGCCAGCUCAAGAUCGUGUGUAGGAUAAUUUUUCUCAUGUGGCCGCAAUUGUCUAGAAGCAUAUGCUAUUACCUUAUCCUGCUGCAUCAAUACACAUCCUAAACCAAUUCUGGAAGCAUCACAAUACACUGUAUACCCUUCGGUGCCUUCUGGAAGUACCAACACGGGUGUGGAAAUCAACUUGUUCUUUAAAUCUUGAAAACUCUUCUCACAGGCAUCAUUCCAUUGGAAUUUGGAUGCUUUAUGGGUUAGCUUGGUUAAGGGUGUUGAAAUGGAAGAAAAUCCUUCAACAAACCUUCUAUAAUAACUGGCCAACCCGAGAAAACUAUGAAUCUCCGUAAGCGUUAUGGGCUUUGGCCAGUUCUUCAUAGUUUUUAUCUUUUAAGCAUCAAUCUUUAUCCCUUCACUAGAUACAAUAUGACCCAAAAAAUUCCACCGACCUAAACCAAAACUCACAUUUAGAGAACUUUGCAUAAAGAUUACAAUCACAAAGAGUCUGCAAUGCCUGUCGUAAGUGAUUGGCAUGGUCCUCUUCUGAUCUAGAAUAAACUAGAAUAUCAUCUAUAAAAACUAUCACAAAUACAUCCAAGAAUGGCUUAAACACCCUAUUCAUCAAAUCCAUAAAAGCUGCGGGUGCAUUUGUUAGCCCAAAUGACAUAACUAGAAACUCAUAAUGACCAUACCGUGUUCGGAAAGCUGUCUUGGGUAUAUCCUUCUCUUUGACCCUCACUUGGUGGUAACCUGACCUCAAAUCAAUCUUAGAAAAGCACUUGGCGCCCUGUAACUGAUCAAAUAAAUCAUCAAUUCUUGGGAGAGGAUAUUUAUUCUUAAUAGUCACCUUAUUCAAUUGCCGAUAAUCAAUACACAUCCUCAGGGAGCCAUCCUUUUUGCGUACAAAUAACACUGGUGCUCCCCAAGGGGAAAUACUAGGCCUAAUGAACCCCUUUUCUAGCAAAUCUUUCAAUUGCUCUUUCAAUUCUCGUAAUUCUGCUGGGGCCAUUCUAUACGGAGGAAUGGAGAUUGGUUGGGUGCCUGGUAUUACAUCAAUACCAAACUCUACUUCUCGUUCAGGAGGCAAACCUGGAAGAUCUUCAGGAAAUACAUCAGAAAAUUCAUUUACCACCGGAACAGCGUGAAGAGUUGGUGGCUCCGCUUCUGUAUCCCUUACUCUAACUAAAUGAUAUAUAUAUCCCUUGGAAAUCAUUCUUCUCGCCUUAAAAUAAGAAAUAAAUCUACCUCUUGGCACGCUAAUUUCACCUUUCCAUUCAAGGACUGAUUCAUUUGGAAAAUGGAAAUAUACCUUUUUCGUGCAGCAAUCAAUUGUGGCAUAACAAGACGCCAACCAGUCCAUACCCAUUAUAACAUCAAAAUCUACCAUUUCUAACUCCACAAGAUCAGCCAUCGUAUCACGACCACAAACAGUUACUAUGCAGUUUCGAUAAACCCUUCUAGCUAUAAUAGAUCUGGGGAAGCCUCUAAAUUCUGUCGAUCCGCUAGAGCAUACAUAUGAUUUUAAGCCCCGCUAGAACUCGUGGCUCCUCUAUCACCUCUAACACAACCCAUUGGUUGUCCACCCCUUUCUGAAUAAGGUAUCGAUCAUGAUGAUGCAACAAAUGACCUCGUAGUUCAUGCCAUACCCCCUAUGCCCCUUUAUGGGCAUUCUCUCAUCAUAUGCCCCAACAUACUGCACCAAAAGCAAAUAUUGGUCCCCAGCUAACAUGUGCCCAAAUGAUACCUUCCACAUUUAUUGCAUGGCUCUCGAGAAGGUCUCGAUUGGCUCAUAUUCCCUUACCAAUAGUACCCCACUGUCCGCGAACUUUGACUCUCACUUCUGUGCCUAAAUUGAUUUCCUCUGGACCCUUGGAACUGUGGUGGGGCACUAGCUACAGAAUAAGAAGAUAAUAGCCUAGGUGGUCUAGCAGAAAAUUAUGGUCUGAACCCUCCUUGGGAUGCCAUGAACUUCACUAUAGCUCCUAAUUCCUGUGUUCUUCUCCUCUGCCUCUGAUCUUCUAUUUUCUGUGCAAAAGCUUGGAUUCUCGCUAUGUCCAUAUCUUUGUUCAAAGUAGCAAUAGUAUAAUCUCUAACUAGAUAUAGAUCUAGCCUAUCCACAUAUUGAUGAAUUCUGUCAUCCAUAGUAGCUACAACAUUAGGAGCAUAUCUUGACAAGGAAUUAAAUCAGAGACUGUACUCCCUCACGCUCAUAAUCCCCUGACGAAGAUUUAAAAAUUGAUCUGCAUGGGCCUGAUGAAUAUCGAAUAGAAGAUAAUGAUCAAGAAUGCCUCUUUGAACUCUUUCCAAGUAGCUGGGGGUGCAUCAAUACCCCUAUAUCAUUUCCAGUCCUCGUACCAAUAUAUAGCCUCUCCUUUGAAUCUAUACGCUGCUAACUCCACUGUCUCUCUACCCAUUACAUGCAUAAUAUCUAAGGCCCUUUGAAUUUGAUCAAUAAAAUCUUGUGGGUCCUCGUUAAGAUCUGAUCCAGUAAAAGUGGGAAGAUCCAUCUUAAGAAAAUCCUGUGUUCAAAGGCUAGCCGUCCUAUCUAUACUACUAGGACCUGUGGUAGGAAUGGCUUGCCCUUGAGCUCUCCCAGCAACUAUAUGAGUCAAAAUUUGCACUACAUUUCUAAGAUCUUGAUCAGCAACAAUAAUAGGUGGCACUUGGGAUAUAGUUCUCCUCUCCCAUAUUUCUUCUGGAGUGGAAGAAGUUUCUGAUGCAUGCCCAGAGCCUCACUUUGAUUAGUUGGUAUAGUGGGUGACUUACUAGUCCCCUCUCCGGCAGCCAUAUCUACUUGCUUACAGGUAUUCUUACUUCUGGUAACCGGCAUCUUUACUAUAAUAAGAGAAACAAACGGAUUCAGUGGUCAACUAUGGCUUCAUAUACAAUAUAGACUCUAUGGCACGAUCUAAGACAUAAAGAAGAGAGAUAAUUCCUAAAUGUCCAUAGCCUCCUGUUUAUAGAUACGGUGCACGACACACCAAUAAACAAGACUCUACAUAGACACGGCUUUGUAGACUCACUAGGACAAACUUAUCUGAUACCACUUUUAUCACGCCUAAAAUCCUAUAGGGACGGACUGGCACCCGUAAUCGAGGAGGCCCGGGAGAACCAGCUCAUAACCUUAUACUUCCCAAGCAUACCUUUAUAACAACCUGAAAUUCGGACAGCAUCAUGUCACAUAUAAAAGUAAAUAAUCACCUGUAUAAGCUCAAGCACACAUAUAUAUGUAUAUACAAUACUUGGCCGUUGGAGCCAUCACAUCUAUUAACAAAACACCACCUUGACUGUAAAUUAGGUCUACAAAGCCUCUAGACAAUACACAGAGUUUAACUAAGGUCGGGAAACACCCUGUCAUAUAACUUACUUCUAUACAAUACCAAAAGUGACUGGAUAUGACACGGAAAGCCCCGAAGCAAACUGGAGCUAACCAAAAGUAGCUGGAUAUCCUGACUCCUACUUGUGCGGUGUAUGAGUUGAGGUACCUGGGCCUGCAGCAUGAAAUGCAGGUCCCCCAUGGGGGACGUCAGUACGAAAUAUGUACUGAGUAUGUAAAGCUGUAGAUAAUCACAUAUGAUAUAGGAGCUCAAUAGAAAUCAGAAACAAGUGAAUAAAUCGUAAUAGGAGUGGACCACACUUACUAGAACUUGUGACAACCUGUACAUUGUAUUUAUUCAAUCACUUUACCUUCAUUCUUAUCAUCUUUGUAAUCAUUAUUGUACUGUACUAUGACCAUUAGGCUGCCUCCAGUACAUAUCAACUAGGAUCGACCNNNNNNNNNNNNNNNNNNNNNNNNNNNNNNNNNNNNNNNNNNNNNNNNNNNNNNNNNNNNNNNNNNNNNNNNNNNNNNNNNNNNNNNNNNNNNNNNNNNNNNNNNNNNNNNNNNNNNNNNNNNNNNNNNNNNNNNNNNNNNNNNNNNNNNNNNNNNNNNNNNNNNNNNNNNNNNNNNNNNNNNNNNNNNNNNNNNNNNNNNNNNNNNNNNNNNNNNNNNNNNNNNNNNNNNNAAUGAAGUAGGAAUUUAUUGGUAUAUCAAUGAAACGUUUUGGAGUCAUUAAUAGCACAUGGAUCUUGUUUGAGUAACCGGAUACCUUCUGACAUUCAUUAGUGCAAUAAACAUGUAAGAUUUGGAAAACAAGUAAGUAUUGGAAUGUCUUGACAUCUUGUAGGGUGGAAACAAGUUCAUUGGUAACGUAGGACAUCAUACAAAACCAUUAUGGAUCACAUGUUAUUGAAUAACUUUGGAAACUUUCUUAAUAGAACAAUUGUUCACUUUCAUACCAAAGAUAUGGUAUAGAGUAUGCUUUACAUACCUGACUGUCAACCUUCAAUACUAGUCCCAAAUGGACUUCCCGACUUUUUGGAUUACUUAUCUCCAAUGAACAUAUAUAGCAAUCUAGUAUUAGCGACCAAACGUCACAAUUCAAUUAUUUGAAUUCACCAAACUAGUGGUUAAGUAGUAAGCCUUAAUUACACCAUAAAGGGUGUCACUUUAACCCUCUUAUACUCCAAUUACAUUCACAUGCCAUGCAUAUUCAUACAACAUCCUCCAAUAUCAAGUUUGGAUUCAUUUAUCCUUCCAACCAAUCCAUUAAACCAAAUUGAGCCAUAGACAUAAAUAAUCAUCAAUUCAAUAGUAUAUCACCAUAUCCACCUUCCAUAACUCAAUUACCAUAUCCACCUUCCAUAAUUUGAUACAACCAAACCAUACAAAAUAGUCCAUAACCCUAUUUCCAUCACCUUUCAAUAACAUCCAAUACAUAUAAUCCUCUAUCACACAUAAACAUAUGGAAAAGAACAAAGGCAAACAACAUUCAUACCUUAGAAUUCACCUCUUGAUUACGCAAUCCUGUUUGCAUAAAUAAUAGGUGCCAAAAAAAAACGUUCGAAGCUCUUGAGAUGACAAACGCAGUUAUCGGAUUACUUUGGAAUUUCUACGGUUGAAUCAAAAGUAAUUUAAAGGUCAAAUUUGGCUAGGGUUUGUUCUUUCUCAAUGAUUGAUGAUGAAAAUGAGUUUUUGAACUCAUAUACAUAUAUAUAUACACAUACUCCGGUCCAUAAUAUAAUAGGAAAUAACCAAAAUGCCUUUAAAAUUUAAAUAAUGUCAAAUCUGUCCUUUGGUAGACUGUUUUGAUAGGUUAAAGUAGAUCGACCAUAACUCUUUUCUUCGAUAUUGGAUUUGGGUGAAAUUGGUAUCGUUGGAAGAAUAAUUCAAAGGGCUUUCAUUUCAUAUAAACUAGGCCACCCAGUUCGUCCUGUACAAGGAGUUAUGGUUGUUUGAAAUUGACCCUAAAAAUCUGCUUUUUAUAGGCUAAAGUAAAAUGAGUAUAACUCCUUAAUUAGAUGCUGGAUUUGGAUGACACCAAUUGCUUUAAAAAUAAGACUCAAAGAUCUUUCUUUUCAUAGGUCACAGGUCUCCCAUUUUAUUAUAUUAAGGGAGUAAUGAUCGUUCGAAGUUGAUCCAAAAAUUUGGCUGGCCUCAGUAGUUUGUGUGCAGGAAAUUUUCCUGCACAUUUACAAUUCCCAAAUAUCCUAGCCACCGUUUUAUAGUUUCGAACUUGCUCGAUUAUAUCCGAAAACUAUCCGUUUUUAGAAAUCUUUAUAUCGUUGGAAAGCUUAUUCAAUAACCUUCGCAUGGAACCAUCGACGAGCAAAUUCUGGUAUAAAUAAAAUAAAAAAUUAAUUUCAUAUAAAUAAGACCAAUACACGUACUUGAAUACGGGAUGUUACAGUAAGCCACCCUGCCAAUUUUUUACCAAACUUUAUUGGGUCCAUAAUACUUAGGACUUAGUGUCAGAUGUCUCCUUAGUGAGACUGAAGUUUGUUUGUAUGGCUAAAGUUUCAAGUACACCAAAUCUCCUUCUUGUAAUUCCCUCUCACUUUUUUUUUUAUUUCCAUACAUUUUAUCUUAGUUUGAUCUUAGACUAGAUGAUCAUUUAGAACCUACUGAAACUAAAUAUUUGAUCUAGAAUCAAAGAAAGAUAUUAAAUAGCUCUUAUGGUGUGACUUGGAAGAAAGGUUUGCACUGAUUACAUGGUUAUGUCAGUGUAAGGUCCCAUGGGUAGUUAUGGGGAAUCAUAUCCAUAUAAUGUAUGAAAAGGGGUGUUGUGUAAAACUGUGUGCUAGUUUGUAUUAUACUACCACUAAGCUAGGUGUAACUAAGCUACUCACUGUUUGGGAUUACUCAUGAUCAUUGCUCUCAGAUAUCCUUCAAGGCAUUUGUUAAGCCUUUUAGUCUAUCUAUCAGACUCCGGAUGAUAUGUUAUGCUUAUGCAUAAUGUAGUCCCAACACUUUUAAAUAGAUGUUGCCAAAAUAGGCUAGCGAAUAUCUUAUCUCUGUUAGAAUUCAUAGUUUUAGGCAGUCUAUGCAGUUUAUAAAUAUCCUUAAUGAAUAUAUCUGCCACCUAUACUGUAGUAUAAGGGUGUUGUAGAGCUAUGAAAUACCCAUACUUAGUGAACCUAUAAAUAACCACUAAUAUAGUGUCCUUACCUUGAGACUUGGGUAGUCCUUCAAGAAAAUCUAAGCUAAUAUUACUCCAAGUUUGAGUUGGAAUGGCCAAGGAUUGUAAGAGUCUUGGUUGUGCAAUAUUUUCCUUCUUGCACCUUUGACAUAAGUCAUAGAUUGAUAUAAAUUCUUGUACAUUAUUUUUCCUAGAAGUCCAAAAGAAAUACAACUGCAAUCUCUUGAGAGUGCCUUGUUGUCCUGAGUGUCUACCAAUUGCAGAAAAGUGCAUAAUUUGUAACAACUGUUGUCUUAAGAUUGUGGUUUUGGAAAUGUAAACCUUAACCUUGUACCUUAGCACUCCUGAUUGCAUCUUGUUGUCCUGGUAGUUAUCAAGGUAAACUGCUAGAGCAGUUAAAAGCUCUUGAACACUGUCAUAUCCUUUAUAACUUUUCUCUACUUCUCUCCUCCACUCAAGUUGUUGUUAUAUCCUGGGUUUUAUCCUUAGAAAAUUUCCUAAAAUUCUCCUUCCCCGGACCCAAUAUGACUCAUAGGUAUACAUUGUAUACUGGGGUGCGAGUUGUAUGGUCCUGUCAUAUCCUGACUAGUGUUAGUUGGUGGGAUAGUCAAGAUCACUAAAAUAGUUAUAACUUAGGGGUAUGAGUCAUAAUUGGUACGAGUCGUAUCAGGGACUCAUAUGGUGGACAGUGUUUGAUCCUUCUGGUAUUUCAUUCUGCCAUGGAUACGGGUAAUAUGUACGGAUCAUAUGUUGUGGUUAAGACUUGGUUGGAUGGAUCGUAUAUUGGAUAGUGUUUGAUCUAAGAGUUGAGGCUUGGAUACGAGUAGUGGAUACCAACCGUAUUGGAGGCUAUGACUCGAAGGGUCAGUCGUUUCCUUAGGACGAAAUUUUAUGCAACUUAAGUGGGGGUAUUCUGGACAUUUUCCUACUUACCCUAACUAGAAUACACAACUUCUAAUAUACUUAAGAGGUUAUUUACCCUAUAGUUUUAUUCAUUAACACUUAGAAACUAUACCUAAACAUCCAAUAAUUCUUUCAAGAGCUUUUGGGGCAAGGAAGUUAGGGUUUUAACUAAGGGAUUAUUUUGGGGCUAGCUUUGGUGAUUUUUUCCAUCAUCUUUCUUGGUUUAAGGCAUGAUUCUCUUCGCUCAUUGUAAUUUCUACUAAAGGCAUGGUUUAUAUGAUUGAUUCUAUGAUUUUAGAAUUUCAUGAUUUUGGUUUUCAACUAUUAUUUAGGGGGUUUGAUAUUAAAUGCUUGGUUAUGGUUUCCUAUAAUUUUAAUUAUGCUUUUCUAUGCAUUAAUGGUGGUUUUGGAAAAUUGGAUUGCAUGGUAAUGUUUUAAUGGUCUUUGGAAUUGGUUUUGGUUAUAUUAUGCCCCCAAGGUGUUUGAUAAAAUACUUAUAAAGGUAUGGCCACUGUAUUGACUUCUUUUAAUGGAACUAUAACUUGUUUUCAGCUUAUAUAUUAAAGCUUUAGAUGAUUUAAAUGGUUUAUAAAGGUUUAAGGCUAAUUGAUUAUGCUUGUGGGAAACAUGAAAGCCUCCCAAGAGGUUAAUAUGGUAAACAGAAAGCGCACUUGAAAGUCCCCUUAACCUCAGUGGUUUGGCUAUGGAUAUUGCUUGCAAGUAAUGGGUGGUAAGAUGAUACCACUAAUAUCAUCCUGGAUUAAUAAAAUGGUAAAUGGAUUGAUUUGAUUACUUCAAAUGAUUUUAAUUGGGCAUUAAUGGCAGAGUAUGUAGCAAGGCCGUGGAAGGUGGCGGUCCUAGGAAGACUAAAACUGGAAACUCAUAUUUUCCUAUAUGAGGGGUCUUGAUGAACACGUGCAAGUGUCACGUUUUAUAUUGGAGGGAUGUACUAGUAUUCCAUGGGAUAUUUUCUGGUCGUGCAGCUACACGCAUUAGAGACCUUUCAGCAGGGGGAGCUGAACCUAUGUCACCUAUAGGUGGUGAGGACAACCAAGCUACACAGCCUAGGUAAAAGUUUUAAAGGCAUACUAAACUCGGUUCCCUUUUUCGGCACUUAUAUAUAUGUAUGGUUAUAUGCAUUCUGGAUGGUUUUACUUGAUUUUAUAACUAGCAUUAUUUUAUCUUUAUCCUGAGUUUUAAGCUAGCAGUUAUUCGCUAACCCAUUUUUUGGAAGCUGUAUACCCACACUAUGCAGGAACUGGUCGUUCGACUCCUACAUAGUGAUUGACUCAAGGAUAGUAUUUGGACUGAAGUGGUAAGCUUCCAUCCUUUCAGAAGGCAUCAUUUCAUGUUAUGGAUAUUGUUAAACAUUUUAACUUUAUCUUAGAUAUUAGCUUUGGCCAUGGUUGGGAGCAUGUCCCAACCGGAUAUUUUUGUUCUUUUGGUUAGAGGCUUUGUGUUACUUUUGAGGGUUAGUAUGGGUGAUAUCGAUAUUAGUGUCGGCCUUGACAAUAGAAUAAGCUAGGAGGCUGGCAUCAUCGGACAUAUUUUUUUAUUGUUCCAUCGUAUUAUAUUUUGGGAUUGAUUAUCAUAUUAUGUUUUCAUAUCCUUUUUGGUUUGGUUGGUAUGGUUGGAUAGUUUACUUGGUAUGGUUGAACUCGGUUGGGUCAGUCACGGUCAUGACUCUAUCCUAGUUUUUUCAUGAGAUCAAUUGCACAAUCUUGUUUUAUGCUUAAAAUUUAGCAUCUAAGGCUGUAAGAGGUGGUUGAGUUGGGUAAAGGGAGUCGGUCCCCGAUCCUGGUUAGACUUGGGAUGCCUAUUAUGUCUAGGCCUAGGUUCGGGUCAUGAUAAGUUGGUAUCAUAGCUUUAGGUUUAUGUUCAACUGGGAGUCCAUAAAGUCGUUCCAAGUAGAUUCUCUUUUAGGGGUGUGAAGUACACCACACUCAUAAGAGAGAGGCUGCAAGACAUUUAGAAAUAUUUCACUUUCUUGGUAUUCUAUCUUCAAUCUUGAGUUCUCAGACCUGGAAUCUUCUCUAAUUCUUAUUUGUUCAUCUUUCAGAUCAUGCCUCCUAGAUUUGGAACACACUAAAAUUAUUCCGUCCCGUCUGGGGAUAAUGUUGAAGGGGUAUGUCCUACGUCUAGAGUACAUCUUCGAUCUUAGGGUCCUAUUCUUGAUUGUGAUGGAGUUUAUCUUAUCCCUCCUAAUACUUCUCUGGUCCCUCAGAGUAAUGUGAUAAAUGCAGAAUUUUGUCAGUCUAUUCAUGUUAUUGCGCAAAUAGUUGUUGCUCAAGCUUAGUCGGGUGCGGCUAGUGCUUUGUCUACUAAGGCCACAAAGUUUAGUCAAUUUAUGAAGAUCGGGCCUCCUACUUUUACGGGGGUGAAGAUGGAGUAAGACCCAGAAAGCUUCUUGGAUGAAAUAAAGAAGAUAUUGUGGGUUAUGCAGGCUUCUAGUGUAGAGGGAGUUAAAUUUGUGUCUUAUCUGCUCAAGGAUGUCGCUUAUUAGUGGUAUGAGGCAUGGGACAUAUAUAAGGGUUAUAUGGAAGUGGAAGGGUUAUGGGAGGCUUUUUCUAAUGCCUUCAUAGAUUAUUUUUUUCCUUAAGAGUUGAGGGAAGCAAAGAUGGAGGAGUUUGUGAACCUCAUGCAAGGGAGGAUGUCUGUAAGGGAAUAUGCCUUGAAGUUCCAUCAAUUUUUGAGGUAUGCUCCUGAUUUGGUGGAUGAUAUAAGGUCUAGAAUGAGAAAGUUCGCUUUUGGACUGAAUAGAGAUUUGAUUCUGGAGAAAAAGAGUGGCUUGCUAAUUAAAGAUAUGGAUAUCUCGAGGUUGACUGUUCAUAUGUAGCAAGUUGAGGAUGAGAAAAAAAAUCGAGCGGAGUUUGGGGAUAGGUAAGGAAAGCAAAGUAGGCUUUUUAAUAAGGAAGAUGCACCGUCUUAGGGAGGGAGAGAUGGUGGUAAGUGGCAGAAAAAGAAGUGGGGGAGUUCUGGUUCUUUCUCUACUGCCAGUACUUCUUACCCACAACAGUUGGGAGACAGGCGUCAUUAAGGUAGUGACAAUUCUCUGGCACAGGUUGCCCAAUCUCAAGCGAUCAGAGGUCAGUCAGUUUCUUCGUAUCCUCUUUAUCUAUUCUGCGGUCGUAAUCAUUAGUAUUAUUGCGAGAAAGGAAGGGAUAAGUGAUCCUACACCUAGUGGUGUGGCAUCUACUUCUGUUACUACGGAGAUUGUCUGGUUAGUAAAGUCGCUACGGGGGAGAAUAAGAUUUUUGUGGCUUUAUCUUAUGCUCCUGCACCUAGUGGUGUGGCAUCUACUUCUGUUACCACUCCUGGUUUUAGUGUUGGUCGAAAUAGGUUGUAUGCUUUAGCGUCCCAUUAGGAAUCCAAGGCAUCACCUGAUGUUGUUACUAGUACGUUACAGCUUUUCUCUCAUGACGUAUAUUGUUUGCUUGAUCCAGGGUCCACUCUUUCUUAUGUGACUCCAUAUAUGGUUGUGUCUUUUGGUUUUGAUACAUAAAUUAUUUGGAAUCCUUUUUUUGUUUCUACCUGUUAGGAGACUCGGUCAUUGCUGAACGGGUCUAUAGAGUGCGUGUGGUAUCUGCUGGUGACAGGCAGACCUUGGUAGAUCUGUUUGAGCUGGGAAUGGUGGAUUUUAAUGUAAUUUUAGCUAUGGACUGGUUGCAUUCUUGUUAUGUCUCUCUAGACUGUCGGACUCGUAAAAUCAUCUUUAGGUUCCCCAGUGAGCCAAAAAUAGAAUGGGAGGGUCGUUCUUUAGCUCCUAGGGGAAGGUUUAUGUAAUACCCAAUACUUUUCCUAACUUAAAUUUUUUCCAAAAAUGUUAAGGGAUAGAUUCCAAAAUGAAUAAUAUUUUUUUCAUGUGGAAUUUUCCAAUCCCAAUGCGUAGGAAAUUGAAUUAACUUUCCAACGAUAUAAAAUUCGCCUUAUUCCGAUAACCGAGUAAGAAGUUAUGAUGAUUUUAUGUUUCAGUCGUAAAACAUCGUGAUUUGGGACCGUAGCGCAUCACGGAGAAGUGUAAAAUCACAGUUGUCAAAUUCUAGUGAGACUCCGCAAUUCUACCGCAUCGUGGAGGAGUUUCAUUUCACAUUUGUCAAUUUCCAGUAAUCCAACAAGAUGGUGGAGCGUCGCUCCAGUGGUCAAAAUGGCAAAACUAUUGGGCACCUUAGUUACCACUCAUCUUUUUUCAGUGAGCCAUCGAGACUAUGGCGUGUCACGGUGGCCAACCAAAUCGGAAAAAAAUGUUGCAUUUUUCAGUUCCACCUUAAAGUUUAAAAAGGGCAUUUUGGUAAAUCCUCAAGGCUCCAAUUCGUCCAAAACAAGGGAUUAAUCAUAUUCUAAGCACUUUAUGGCCGAAUUCCUCCAUUCUCUCUCAAAGUAAAACCCUAGAGAUCCAAAGCUUCUUCUCCAAAAAAUCAAAAUCCUCCAUAGAUUCUCCAAGAAAACUUCAAAUUAAAGCUUCCAAAGGCAAGAUAAUCAAGAACUCAUCUCCAAGAACACAAUAGGAAAUCCAAGAUUCAAGGUUUUUAUCUAAGAUCAUCAAUUAAGGGUGUGGGAUUUAUGAACAAGGAUCUUUUUCCAUCCGUGUAUCCAGAAAAACAAGCUUUUAUUUAAAAUUCAUAUGAUUUGAAUGAUUAUACAUGAAAUUUAAAUUAGGGUUCAUACUUAUUAUUUCUAUUUGCAAGAUUAUGAGUCUUUGAGAGAUUUUAAAGAUGAAUUGCAUGUCUAUUUUCAUAUUUUCAUGCUUAUUACAGUAAUUUCUAGAUUUUGUGAUGAAUUAUCAUUGUUUUUAUUAUCAAGAAUGAUUAUUAUGAUGUUUUGACAUGAGAUUGUUGCAUGGGUUGUUAUCCCAAAGAUUGAAUAUUAUUGUUUCAAGAAAGAUGAUGCUUUAAGCAUACUAUAAGCUAACUAUUUUAGAUUUACAAUAAAGUUUUGAUAUUUUGAUCCUCAGAUAAGUUUUGAAAUCCACUUUACAGAAUUUUUACAGAUUUUAGAAAGCAACAUAGCUUAAUUUAUAGAUUGAUUCAGAUAAAUGCAUAAUUGGUUUCGUAAUAAACCCUUAUGCUAGUUUUAAAGUGGAUAUCUAACAAGAUGAGCGUAGCAAAUUAAAGAGAGUAGUAUUUAGCACCGAGUUAGAUAUGAUUCCAAGGUCUCAUACCCCAGAAUUACGUACCAUCGUAGAAUUGAUAUUAAAGAGCCCAUAGUGGGCUGAGAUAGUGAUCACUUAAGCUGAGGUUAUACUCUCUGGCAAGAGUAUGACACCUCUCCCCAACGUGAGGUUUCUUUAUUAGGAGGACGAGACGUUGGACUCCAUGUAGCCCGCAUGGUUUAUGUCGGUUAAUAGAACCUCCCUAAUAGAAGAGUUUUACAGAAUAGCUUUGAAAGAAUUUCCUACUAAUAAAGAAAAGCUUUUAGUAAACUAAGUGUAAUACCCCGCAUUUUUGGGCUAGUCUUUGAACCAUCGUUCCUACAUGUAUAAGCUCCAAUCCAAGUGAUUAUCAUGUGUAUACAAGUUUCAUGAUCAUUAUUAUAGUCUAUGAAGUAGUUUAAAGGUGAAAAAUGUUCAUAGUAAUGACUUAGUACAAAGUUAAGCUAAGAUCUUUUGAUUCGUCCAAAAUUUGAUAUUUGAUUCUACAAGGGUUUAUUUCAAACAUGUAUAACUCUUUAUAUACAUGGAAUUUUUCAUCCCAAAACAUAUCAAAUUGUAGAUAAUUGAAUUAGCUUUCCAACAAAACCAAUUUCGCCAAAAUCCGAUACCCGAGCGAAAAGUUAUGACCAUUUUCGUGACUAAGGCAAUAGCAUCGCGCGAUUAGCGUGCGACGCACGUUCUAUCGUACACACCCAAUUUCCAGGAGUUAUUUUUGCAUUUUUUUGGCAAAAAGGUCCUUUCCUUCACCCCUAACUCGUCCAUAACAGAGAAUUGAAGCCUUAGGAAGCAUUAUAUGCCCCUUUAAUCAUAAUUUCUCUCCAAGCCUCUCUCAAGAACAAACUCUCCCAAUCCAAGAAGUCCAUCAAAUUUCUUAAAGAUAGUCAAGAAUUCAAAGUUUUCAAUCCAAGAAACGUAAAAUUCAAGUCAUCAUAAUCAAAAAUCAAGCCAAGAAUUAAGUAUCACAUUCAAGAAUCUCAAGAAAGCAUUAAAGAUCAUCUUCUAGGGUUUCAAAGUCGAGUUUUCUUCAUCAAAUCCAAACUAUUAAGGUAUGUGGGAUUUCAACAAGGGCAAUCCUUUUGUCCUUGUGCCCAAACUUAUUUUAUAUUAUAAAUUACUGAAUUUUUUAUUAUUUUCCAUGAAAUUUAAUUUGGGGUUUAUAUCCAUUGUUGUUAAUUACAAUCUUAUAAGGUUUUCAAUGAUUUAGAAGUGGAAUUGCAUGACUAAUUCCAUAUAUUUAUACAAGUAAUGUGAUUUUCCAGAUUUUUCCAAGUGAGUUUAAGCAUUAUAUUGUGAUUCUUGGUUUCUAUAUUUUGACAUUGUUGAAGUAUUUUCAAGAAGAAUAUUGAGUAUGAUUUUUUGCUAUGAUACUACAUGAGUAUGAAUAAUUCUACACCUACCCCCCCCCCCCCCUCCACAAAUCUCCCCGUCGGUUGCAAAAUUUGUUCUCUCUCUUUGGUCAACUCCGGCGGAUCUCGUCAGUAUCUUCGGCGAAACGAUUUGUAAGUUCCCUCUUUACAUGAAAUUGAAACCCUAAUUUUCCAUUUUGAAGUGGUAAAAAUUAUAUAUUUUCAUUAUCUUGUGGGUUUUCAGCUACUUCUUGACAAUAAGGUAAGGUAAAUUUCAUAAAUAAAGUAACAACAAUGGCUUGAAAUACUCGAAUACCAUUCCUCAAGGCAUUUGGUGGACUAUAUGGCUUGAAAGAUGUAUAUUUUUUUUCUAGCUUUUUAGUGCAACCUUAUUAUUGAACAUGAUGAAGAUGUUAUCCUAGCUGCAAUAGAGGAUUUGCUCAAUACCUUAAUCUACAGGUUUUGUGGCACUGACUUAAUGCAAUUAUUUAUGAAAAAAAGGUUAAGUUGGAGAAAUAUGGAGGAUCAUAUAUACAAUACUAGUUUGGGGUGAGGGUAUAAUUUUUGAUAAUUUUCUCAACCUGGUGCAGUUGCUCACUUUCGACAUUUUUGUAUACGGUCCUUUGUCUUGAGUCGGGGGUCUAUCGGGAACAAACUCUCUACUUCUUCGGAGGUAGUGGUAUGGACUGCGUACAUUUUACCCUCCUCAGGCCCCACUAUGUGGGAAUAUACUGAGUUUGUUGUUGUUGUUGUUGUAUGUUUAUAUUUUCAUGCUUAUUGCUGAAAUUUCCAGAUUUUGAGUUGAUUCAUCAAUAUUUACGUUAUCAAGCAUGAAUCUUUUGGUGUUUUAACAUUAGUUUGAUAUAUGGGUCAUCAACCCCUAUUUAAAAAUUGUUUUCUUGAGAAUGUUGAAAGUUUUUAAAGAUUAUUAUUGAGCAUGAAGUUGAAUAUGAUUAUUGAUGCAUUAAAGUUAUAUAUUUUGAAUCUUAAGUACUAGUAAUGAGUUUAUAAGGAGACUGUGAUCUCAAUGUCUUGUUGACAAGUUUGAUAAGUGCUUUCAAAGCAAAGAUUGAUCUUUUGAUUCCAAGCUAAGAUAGGAAUCCACAUUGUUUAUGAUUUAAAGCAAAGAUGAGUAUAAUUGGUCUUUAUUAUAGACCCUUGUAUUGUUUUAAGGUGGAUUUCCUAAAAUUUCUGAGCAUAAGUAUGGAAGUAGUAUUUAGCACCGAGUUGAAUAUGAUUCCAAGGACUCAUACUCCAUAACUACAUGCCACCGUAGGAUUAAGAUUUAUGGGCCUUAGGCCAAGAUAGUGAUCACUUAAGGUUCUAUUCUGAUGGCAAGGGUAGAAUAGCUCUCCCCAAUGUGGGCAAGACGUUAGACUCUAUGUCAGCUCACAUGGUUUAUGUUGGUUAGAAGAAACUCCCAAAGAUGUACCCCACUCUUGAAAUAGUUUCAGUGAUUCAAAGUAUUGAGAUAAAGAGUUUAUUAUACAAAAUGAGUUUCAGAUUUCAUCUAGCUUACAAGUUUUGAGAAUAAGAGGAGAAUACAUAUUUCAGAGUAAAGUGUAAUGACUCACAAGAUUUAUAUUACAUGAUUUCUUAUUCAUGAUUUAUGAGAUUUAUAUUUCAGAUUUUUAUUCAAGCUAUGUGAGUCAUUUAUGUCAGCAUGCAUUAUUUUAUAAAGAGUAAUGAGAUCGUUUACGUAAAUGCAUACACCCCCAUAUACUCAGUACAUCCUCUAAGUACUAAUUCACAUAUAUGUCUAUGUGCUACAUUGUCUUAGAAUAUAGGUACGAGUUGUAGCACGCAUACCAUGUUCAGGCAGUUGCAGCUUCCAGUUAGCAAGUGAUGAGUCCUUUUGAUCCAAGGGCUCAAGUCAGUUAUACAGUUUGAGAAAUAUGUUAUUUUUUUAUUUAGUCAUAUUGAGUUGGGGUAGUUGGGAGUCAUGACCCGGCUACCUAUAGUCAGUACUAGUAGAGGCUUCAUAGACAGUCAGAAGAAGUUGAUGUAUUCAGUUUUAGUUUUAUUUGUAAAAGCAGAGUUAUAAUUUUAUAAAUUUGAUUUUGUAUUGAUCAAAUUCAUAAAAGAGUUAUUGUUCAUCGAUUUGUACAUAUUUAUACUUUUUAUUCAAUUGCUUAUGAGUUAUAACAGUAGAAGGGUUAGCUUGGGGUCACUUGUAUCCCUAAGCACCAUGUCACAUCUCGGGACCCAUUUUCAGGGCGUUACACUAAGUGUAAAGGCUCACAAUUUUAAUCAGAUUAUGCUUUACAGAAAGAUAAUAGUUACAGAUUUCAGCUUUCAGAUUGCAGAUUUUAGAGUGAGUCCUUUCUACACUCAAACAAUAUGAUUUAAAGAGAGAAUAAAAGUACAGUUUUUAGAACUAAAUGUUAUUACUCGCCAGAUUUAUAAAUUAUGAUUUGCUUCUUAUUAUUAUAGAUUUUAGUAUUUCAUAUAUUCCAGCUUAUAUGAGUCAUUUACAUUUAUCAUGUAUUGUUUUACAAAUUAUAAUGAUGAGAUGAUGUUUUACUUAUGUAUUUCAGUCGUAAAACAUCAUGAUUUGGGCACUUAGCACGUCGCGGAGAGGUGUAAAAUCAUAAUUGUCAAAUUCUAGUAAGACUCUGCGAUUCCACCAGAUCGCAGAGGAGUCCUAUUUCACAUUUGUCAAUUUCUAAUAACCUACCGUGAUGGUAGUGCGUCACACCAGUGGCCAAAAUUGUAAAACUAUAGGGCACCGUAAUAGCUCCGCAUAGCGGAAAAUGCCCAAUUUCACUCGUCCUUUUCCAGUGAGCCACCAUAAUUAUGGCGCAUCACGGUGGCCAACCAAAUUGGAAAAAAUAUUUUAUUUUUCAGUCCCGACUUAGGGUUUAAAAAGCAUAUUUUGGUAAAUCCCUAAGAUCCCAAUUCAUCUAAUACAAGGGAUUAAUCAUAUUCUAAGCUCUUCAUGCACGAAUUCCUACAUUCUCUCUCAAAGCAAAACCCUAGAGCUCCAAAGCUUCUUCUUUAAGAAAUCAAAAUACUCCAUAGAUUCUCUAUGAAAACUUCAAAUUGAGGAUUCCCAAGGCAAGAUAAUCAAGAACUUAUGUAAGACCCCAUAAAAUUUCCUCGUAGUUUGAGCCUUUAGAGCGUGUCAAGUAAAGUGUAAUUCCGGCCCUAAAAGAUUAAGAAGUGACUUCCAAAGUGAUUAGUGUUUAAACCUUGUUGAAUUUUCCUAAAAAUGACAUUUAUCAUGUGGGAAAUUGAAUUAUCUUUCCAAUGAUACCCAUUUCAUCAAAAUCCAACAUCGAACGAGAAAGUUAUGGCCGAAUUACAGAAAGCAAUCUGAACUGCCCAGGUGUGAUAGAGAGGUCCGACGGACCGUCGAGCUAGCAAUGGAAUAUCGACCAAACCGUCGUAGAGGAGGCAGUGAGACCUCAUUCUGGUUAGGUGCGACGGUAAAGCCGAUGGACGUCGAUCCAACGACGGACCAUCGACCCAGCCGUCGUAGGCAAGGCAGAAAGUCCAAAUCUGGCCCAGGUGCGAUGAUCAGGACCGACGGACCAUCGACCCAGCGACGAACCAUCGCAUAUCCCGUUCGGUGAUUUUAAGUUAUUUUUAAAGAGGUCUUUUUUGUCUUUUUCCACUCUUUUAACACUCAGAUAUAUCCAGAACAAAGCUAUGGGCUUCAUUAUUCAUCUAAACAUCUCAAAGAUAGGGUUUCUCCCUCAAGAACAAGAACAAAUUCCUUCUCCAAAAACUGCAAGAUCCCACUAUAUAUUUUAUAAAUGAGUUAAGAUUCAAGGUUCCCAAGUUAAAAGCUUCAAGAACCCUCUCUCAAGAGUAAGAGAAAGAGUCUCAAACAAAGUCUGUUUAUCCAAGUCAUAAUCUAAGGUAUGUGGAGUUUGAACAAGGACACUUCUUUCGUCCUUAUGCCCAAAAGUUAUUUUAAUUAUGAGAACAUAUGAUUUUUUAUGCUUUCUUAUGAAAUUGAAGAUGGGUUUAUACCCUAUGUUGUUAUUCCUUGAGGUUUUAAUAGUUCCAAUAUUCUAGAAAUUGAAAUACAUGAGUAUGUUGAGAUUUUUAGGGAAAAACACUGAAAAUUCCAAAUUUCUAUACGAUUUAUGAAUCUUUAUGACAUUUAGUAUGCAUUUUUGAUAAGUCUUAACUUGAGAUUUGAUUAUGGGUUAUUAAGCCUUACUAGAGAUUUGCAAUUUUAUGCACUUUUGUGCUAUAAGCACCCAUUAAUUAAGUACUUUGAUACUAUUGAGAAAGAUUUGGCCUUUUGGUCAUAAUAGAGUUGAAAUCCGUUGAGUGUGAUAAAGUAAAUAGAAAUAUGUUUUGGUCUUCAUUAUAGACCCUUGAGUUAUUUUUUGGUGAAUUUCCUAAAAGUUUUGAGCUGAAUAUGGGAGUAGUAUUUAGCACCAAGUUGGGUAUGAUUCUAAGGUCUCAUACCCCAUAACUAUGUGCCACCGUAGGUUCAAGAUUUAUGGGCCCAAGGCCAAGAUAGUGAUCACUAAAGAUGAGGUUCUAUUCUGAUGGAAAGAAUAGAAUAGUUCUCCCCAACAUGGGCAAGACAUUGAACUCCAUGUAGCUCACAUGGUUUAUGUUGGUUAGAAGAAACUCACGAGUUCCAAGUCUCCCGAGUCAAAAAGAGUUUUAGAGAUCCCAAGUGUUAAAGUUCCUAAAAGUUCUAAGUCCUUAAGUUUUAAAGAAGUUUCACUCUCCAUGAGAUAAAAGCAUGAGUUUGAAAGUAUUUGUUUAAAGCUUGCUUUAUCCUUCAAGUACUGAGAAUAAGAGAAGAGUAUGGAUUUUAAAGUUAAGUAUAAUGACUCACGAGAUUUGUGUUACAUGCUUCACUAUUCAUAUUUCAUGAGUAUUACAUUUUAGACUUAUUCAAGCUAUGUGAGUCAUUCCUAUUUGCAUGUAUGAUUUUAUUAAAGUGUAUUGAUAUUGUUUUAUGUAAAUGCAUACACCCUCCAUAUACUCAGUACAUUCCCAAAGUGUUGAUCCGCAUAUAUGUCUAUGUGCUACAUUGUCUCAUAAUGUAGAUUCAGGUGCUCAGUCUCAGCAGUGAUCGUGAUUCCCGAGUGCCUUUACUUACAUCCCAUAAUUGGUGAGUCCUCAUGGUUUGAGUACCUAUUUUCUCAGAUUUUCAAUUGUUAUUACUUUUAUAUCAGUUCGAGUCAGUUGGGGGUCUAUCCCAAUGGCUCUCCAGUUUGAGUAGUAGAGGCUUUAUCAGACUAGACUAACAGUUGUGUUUUAGACUUUCAGUAUUUCUUUUUAGACUAUAGUUUCCAGUUAUUUCAAUUUCAAGAUGAUAUAUUAUAGUCGUAUUGCUUGACUUGGUAUCCCAAAUUAAGAGAUAGAGAUAGCAACAGGCUCGAAGGGUUAGAUUGGGGCUACUUAUAGCCUUAAGCGACGUGUGACACUUUGGGAUUAGAUUUUGGGGCGUUACAUACUUGGUAUCAAAGCUUAAGGUUCAAAGAUUCCUAGGGAGUCUGACAAGCCGUGUUAAGUAGAGUCUUGAACAUUGGUGUGUAGCGCGCCACAUCUAUGAGCAAAAGGCUAUAAGACAUUUUAGGAAAAACUUGUUUCUUUCUUUCAGAUUCUAUUGUGCCUACAAUUGGCUCACUCAUCUAAUAAUUCAUACUCUCCUAUUUCAGAAAAUGACUCCCCGAAGAGCGAACACCCACAGAAAAAAUAAUGAGCAACCCCAGCUUGUUGAUCCCUUGAAUGAGACUGUGUCUCAUGCUGAGUUUCAAGUGGCCUUUCAGGUGUUAACCCAAGAAGUCAUCGCCAAUGUUCAGGCUAAUAACCAGGCCAUAGUUCUAAAUUAGCAGGGAGGUAUUUAGCUGCUACUAGGAUUUGUGAUUUUAUGCGGAUGAAUCCGCUAGAGUUUUAUGGGUCUAAGGCAGGUGAGGACCUACAUUUAUACCUUGAGGAGGUGAGGAAUAUUACAUAGGUGAUGUAUGUUUCUAAGGAAAAAAGUGCUGAACUGGUGUCUUACAGGUUGAAAGACAUUGCUUAUGACUGGGUUGUAGUGUUGAGGAAGGGUAGAGGUAAGGAUGCUGCUCCUAUGACUUGGCAGGUGUUCUAAGAUGCAUUCUUGGACAACUUCUUCCCACUUGAGAUGAGGGAAUCAAAGAUUGAGGAGUUUAUGAACAUAAGGAAGGGAUCCAUGACUGUUAAGGAGUACUGCUUAAAGUUCAACCAGUUAGCCAAGUAUGCUCCUGAUUUGAUUAUUGACACCCGAGCUAGUAUGAGCAAGUUCGUGAAAAGUGUUUCUGGUUUGGUACUGAAAGAGUGUAGGACUGUGAUGCUGAAUAAAGAUAUAGAUCUGUCUAGAUUGAUGAUAUAUACACAACAGAUAGAGGCAGACAAGAUAAGGAAGAGAGAUAGAACGAAGGGUAACAAGAGGGCUAAAUUUGAGCAUCAUAAGUAGUGUCAGGUUAAGUACCAUGAAGGGAACUGCCCAUAGUUCUAGAGCCAUUCGUUUAUGCCACUGCCUACAUCAGCUAGUGCUCCCAUGCCUAGAAAUAGGCAGGACUAAGGGAACAGGUCUUCUAUGUCUAGGUUGCAGAACAGUGUAAGUAAUAGACCUUACUAUCUUCCUUGUUCUAAGUGUGCUAAGGACCAUCCCAGUGAGUGCUUAACAGACCACAGGGGUUGUUUUGGUUGUGGUAAGUUGGGCCACAUACUUAGAGAGAGUCCUCAUGCUAGGCAAGGGAACAAAGAUGCCCGACCUCAAAUACCAGCUACUAGUGCACCAGCUCCUAUAGCCUGUCCCACCCAUACUCAGGGCAUUUCAUCCAGUACUGCUGGCGGUCAGUGCUAGAACAGAUUAUAUGCCUUACCAUCCCGUCAAGAGCAGGAGGAGAAGGAUUCUCCUAAUGUUGUUACUGGUACGCUCCGUGUCUUUUGGUUUGAUGUUUUUGUAUUGUUUGACCCCGAGUUAAGUUUCUCUUAUGUGACCUUAUUAGUCGCUAUGAAUUUUGAAAUAAGUCCUAAAAUGAUUCCUGAGCCUUUCCUAGUUUCCACACCAGUAGGGGAGCCAGUUGUUACUAAGUAAGUGUAUAGAAAUUAUCCUGUUACUAUUCUUCAUAGAGUUAUGCUUGCUGAUUUGAUAGAGUUGGACAUGGUGGAUUUUGACCUUAUUCUAGUUAUGGAUUGGCUUCAUUCUUGUUAUGCAUCUAUAGACUAUCAUACCCAUGUUGUCAAGUUUCAGUUUCCUGAUGAACCAAUUUUUGAGUGGUCUGGAAAUUUAGUAUUUCCCAAGAGUCAUUUUAUCUCCCAUCUCAAAGCCAAAAAGCUAAUAUCUAAAAGUUGCAUCUAUCACCUAGUUAGAGCUAAAGAUACUAAGUCUGAGCCUCCAACUAUUCAAUCAGUCAACAUUGUUAAUGAGUUUCUUGAUGUUUUUUUAGAAGAUCUCCCAGGGGUACCUCCCGAUAGAGAGAUAGAAUUGAGGAUUAACCUUCUUCCCGACACUCAGCCUAUUUCUAUUUCUCCCUACCGUAUGGAACCUGUAGAGCUUAAGGAGUUAAAAGAGCAACUCAAAAAUCUUUUAGAUAAAGGUUUCAUAAGGCCCAGUAUCUCUCCUUGGGGUGCACCUAUUUUAUUUAUGCGAAAGAAAGAUGGUUCUUUGCGUAUGUGCAUUGACUGUCAUUAGCUUAAUAAGGUCACAGUCAAAAAUAAGUAUCCUCUUCCUAGAAUUGAUGACCUGUUUGAUCAGUUGCAAGGUGCAAGUUAUUUCUCCAAGAUAGGCCUUAGAUUUGGCUAUCACCAGCUUCACGUAAGGGAGUGUGACAUCCCAAAAAUAGCCUUCCAAACUCGUUAUGGUCACUUAGAGUUUCUAGUCAUGUCUUUCAGGCUAACCAAUGCUCCAGUAGCCUUUAUGGACCUCAUGAAUUAAGUGUUCAAGCAAUAUCUUGAUAUGUUUGUCAUAGUGUUCAUAUAUGAUAUUUUUGUUUACUCCCGUACUGAGAAUGACCAUGUAAAUCAUCUUAGGAUAGUCUUGCAAACUCUUAGAGAUCACCAGUUGUUCACUAAAUUCAACAAGUGUAAAUUUUGGCUAAGAUCAGUAGUCUUUCUAGGUCAUCUCAUUUUAGCUGAAGGCAUUAGAGUUGAUCCCCAAAAGACAGAAGCUGUAAGAAAUUGGACUAGACCUAUCUCUUUAUCUAAUAUUAGGAGUUUCUUGGGUCUAGCUAGCUACCACCGCCGUUUUAUCAAAGGUUUCUCUUCUAUUGCGUCUCCCAUGACUCGGUUGACCCAAAAGAAAGUUAAGUUCCAGUGGUCAGAUUCCUGUGAGAAGAGUUUUAAGAGUUGAAAACUCGACUUACUUCAGCCCUUAUGUUGAAUUUGCCAGAUGGUGCAGAUGGUUUUAUGGUGUAUUGUGAUGCCUCUAGAGUUGGUUUAGGUUGUGUGUUGAUGCAGAGAGGCAAGGUUAUAGCCUAUGCCUCUAGACAGCUGAAGCCGCAUAAAAAAAACUACCCAACCCAUGAUCUUGAAUUAGCUGUUGUGGUCUUUUCUUUGAAAAUAUGGAGACACUAUCUUUAUAGUGUUCAUGUCGAUGUUUUUAUUGAUCAUAAAAGUCUGUAAUAUAUAUUUAAUCAGAGGGAGUUGAAUCUUAGGCAGAGAAGAUGGUUAGAAUUGUUAAAGAACUAUGAUAUGAGUCUAUUGUAUCACUCGAGAAAGGCCAAUGUAGUGGCAGAUUCCCUUAGCAGGUUGUCUGUGGGUAUGUCACUCAUAUAGAGGAAGGUAAGAAAGAUUUAUCUUAUGAUAUGCAUUAUUUCUAGACUGGGUGUUAGGUCCCUUGAUUCAAUUGAGGGGAGUAUUUUGGUGUAGAGUAGUUUCGAAUCCUCUUUAGCUUUGAAAGUAAAGGAGAAGCAAGAUAGGGAUCCUAGUUUAGUCAGACUGAAGGAGUCAGUUAAGGAUCAAAAGGUAGAGGUUUUCUCCCAAGGGGGAGAUAGUGUGUUGAGAUUGUAGGGUAGAUUUUUUGUUUUGUGUGUUGAUGAUCAAAGGCAAAAAAUUAUGGAUGAAGCACAUAAGGCAUGGUAUUUUAUUCAUCCUGGCACUACCAAGAUAUACCGUGACUUGUAGGAAAUCUAUUGGUGGAGUGAUAUGAAGAAGGAUAUAGCCGAGUUUGUAGCAAAAUGUGCAACGUGCGAACAGGUUAAGGUAGAGCACCAAAGACAUGGUGGUGUGAUGUAAGAGUUUGGUAUACCCACUUGGAAGUGGGAAGAGGUGAACAUGGAUUUCGUGACUGGUUUACCUCUUUCGCGUCGUCAUCAUGAUUCUAUUUGGGUGGUUAGGGAUAGGUUGACUAAGUUCAUGCAUUUUUUUCCUAUGCAUACAUCUUAUACAGCUAAUGAUUAUGCUAGGUUGUAUAUCCAAAAGUUAGUCUGGUUGCAUGGAGUUUCCUUGUCCAUAAUCUCAGAUAGGGGUACUCAGUUCACUUCUCAGUUUUGAAGAGCAUUUUAGAAGGGUCUUGGUACCCAAGUUCAUUUGAGUUCUUCUUUUCAUCCACAGAAAGAUGGUUAGGCUGAGAGGACCAUUCAGACUCUAGAAGAUAUGUUGAGGGCAUGUGCACUUGAUUUCAAAGGUAAUUGGGAUAAGCAUUUUCCACUGAUUGAGUUUGCAUAUAACAAUAGUUACCAUGCUACCAUCAAGAUGGCACUAUUUAAGGUUUUGUAUAGUAGAAGAUGUAGAUCACCCAUAGGUUGGUUUGAAGUGGGUGAAGUUGCUUUGGUUAGACCUAAUGUAGUAUUUGAGGCCAUGGAGAAGUUGAAGUUGAUUAGAGAAAGGUUAAAGACAACCCAAGUCGUCAAAAGUCAUACGCUGAUGUAAGAAAAAGGGAUCUUGAGUUUGAGGUGGGUGACUUGGUGUACUUGAAGAUUUCACCCAUGAAAGGGGUGAAGGGGUUUGGCAGAAAAGAGAAGCUUAGUCCCCGUUAUGUUGGCCCUUAUAGAGUCUUGAGUCGUGUUGGGAAAGUAGCCUAUGAAGUUGAGUUGCCUGUAAAAUUGUCAGCUAUUCAUCUUAUUUUUCAUGUCUCCAUACUUAAAAAGCAUAUUGGUGAUCCAUGGUAGUGGAUCCUUCAGAGAGUGCUGAUAUUCAGAACAGUCUUUCAUAUGAUGAGAUUCCUGUUGAGAUUUCAGAUUUUCAGAUCCAUAGAUUGAGGAACAAAGAGGUUCCCUUGGUCAAAGUUUUAUGGAGGAACCAGUCAGUUGAGGGCGCUGCUUGGGAGGCAGAAGCAGACAUGCGAGCCAAGUACCCGCACCUCUUCUCCGUGAGUUCAGAUCAAGUCGAAGGUAUUAUUCUUCCUUAACUCAACCCUACUAAUAUAAAGUUCAGCUAUAUAUCUAUUCUUACAUGAGUUCUUACAAUUUUCGAAGUAUUCAAGAGUUUAGAUAGAUAUGGAGCCCGCUUAGCAAAUUGCUUCAGCUAUGUGUACUCAGUUUUCUCUGUGAUCUUAGUCUAACUAAUGACAUUCGAGGAUGAAUGUUUCCAAGGAGGAGAUAUUUUAAGACCCCACACAAUUUCCUUGUAGUCUGAGCCUUUAGAGCAUGUCAAGUAAAGUGUAAUUCCGACCCUAAAAUAUUAAGGAGUGACAUCCGAAGAGAUUAGUGUUUAAACCUUGAUGAAUUUUCCUAAAAAUGAGUUUUAUCGUGGGAAAUUGAAUUAUCUUUCCAAUGAUACCCAUUUCAACAAAAUCCAACAUUGGACGAGAAAUUUUUGGUCGAAUUACAGAAAGCAGUUUGAACUGCCCAAGUGCGACGGAGAGGUCCAACGGACCAUCGAGCUAGUGACGGACAGUCAACCAAACCAUCGUAGAGAAGGCAGUGAGACCUUAUUUUGAUUAGGCACGAUGGUAAGUCAGACCGACCGUUGAUCCAAUGAUCGACCUUUGACCCAGCCAUCGUAGGCAAGGCAGAAAAUCCAAAUCUGGCCCAGGUACAACGAUUAGGACGGACGGACCAUCGACCCAGCGAUGAACUGUUGUACCCCACCGUCGCAUAUCCCGUUUGGUGAUUUAAGUCAUUUUUAAAGAGGAUUUUUCGGUCUUUUUCCACCCUUUUAACACUCAAAUAUAUCCUGAAUGAUGCUGAGGGCUUUAUUAUUCAUCCAAACAUCUCAAAGCUUGGGUUUCUCCCUCAAAAACAAGAACAAAUUCCUUCUCCAAGAACUGCAAGAUCCUACCAUAGAUUUUAAAAAUUGAGUUAAGAUUCAAGGUUCCCAAGUCAAAGGCAUCAAUAACCGUCUCUCAAGAGUAAGAGAAAGAGUCUUAAACAAGUUUGUUCAUACAAGUCAUAAUCUAAGGUAUGUAGGGUUUGAACAAGGACACGUCUUUCGUCCUUGUGUCCAAAAGUUGUUUUAAUUAUGAGAUCAUAUGAUUUUCUAUGCUUUCUUAUGAAAUUUAAAUAUGGGUUUAUGCCCUAUCUUAUUAUUCCUUGAGGUAUUAAUAGUUCCAAUGUUCUAGAAAUUGAAAUACAUGAGUGAGCAUGUUGAGAUUUUUAGGAAAAAACGCAGAAAAUUCCUGAUUUCUAUACGAUUUAUGAAUCUUUAUGACAUCUAGUAUGCAUUUUUUAUGAGUCUUAACUUGAGAUUUGAUUAUGGAUCAUUAAGCCUUACUUGAGAUUUGCAAUUUUAUGAACUUUUGUGCUAUAAGCACCCAUGAAUUGAGUACUUUGAUACUACUGAGAAAGAUUUGGCCUUUUGGUCAUAAUAGAGUUGAAAUCCAUUGAGUAUGAUUUAAAGUAAAUAGAACUAUGUUUUGGUCUUCAUUAUAGACCCUUGAGUUAUUUUAAGGUGGAUUUCCUAAGAGUUCUAAGCUGAGUAUGGGAAUAGUAUUUAGCACCAAGUUGGGUAUGAUUCUAAGGUCUCAUACCCCAUAACUAUGUGCCACCAUAGGUUCGAGAUUAUGGGCCCAAGGCCAAGAUAGUGAUCACUAAAGAUGAGGUUCUAUUCUGAUCAUAAGGAUAGAAUAGCUCUCCCCAAGUGGGUAAGACGUUGGACUCUAUGUAACUCAAAUGGUUUAUGUCGGUUAGAAGAAACUCCCGAGUUCCAAGUGUCCCGAGUCUAAAAGAGUUUUAGAGUUCCCAAGUGUUGAAGUCCCUAAAAGUUCUAAGUCCUUAAGUUUUAAAGAAGUUUCACUCUCCAUGAGAUAAAAGCAUGAAUUUGAAAGUAUUUGUUUAAAGCUUCCUUUAUCCUUCAAGUACUAAGGAUAAAAGGAGAGUAUGGAUUUUAAAGUUAAGUAUAAUGACUCACGAGAUUUAUGUUGCAUGCUUCACUAUUUAUGAUUCAUGAGUUUUACAUUUUAGACUUAUUCAAGCUCUAUGAGUCAUUCCUAAUUACAUGCAUGAUUAUAUUAAAGAGUAUUGAUAUUGUUUUAUGCAAAUGCAUACACCCCCAUAUACUCAGUACAUUCCCAAAGUGCUAAUCCACAUAUACGUCUAUGUGCUACAUUAUCUCAUAAUGUAGGUUCAGGUGCUCAGUCCCAGUAGUGACUGUGAUUCCCAAGUGCCUUUGCCUACAUCCCACUGUUGGUGAGUCCUCAUGGUUCGAGGACCUAUUUUCUCAGAUUUUCAGUUGUUAUUACUUUCAUAUCAGUUCAAGUCAGUUGGGGGUCUGUCCCAAUGGCUCUCCAGUUUGAGUAGUAGAGGCUUUGUCAUACUAGACUAGCAGUUAUGUUUUAGACUUUCAGUAUUUUUUUUUAGACUAUAUUUUCCAGUUAUUUCAGUUUUGAGAUGAUAUAUUAUAGUCGUAUUUCUUGACUUGAUAUCCCAAAGUAUGAGAUAGAUAUUGUAACAGGCUUGAAGAAUUAGCUUGGGGCUACUUGUAGCCUUAAGCACCGUGUGACACUCCGGGAUGAGAUUUCGGGGCGUACCAACUCAUCUCUAAGAACUCAAUAGGAAAUCCAAGAUUCAAGUUUUUCAUCUAAGAUCAUCAAUCAAGGUAUGUGGGGUUUAUGAACAAGGAUCUUCUUCCAUCCUUGUGCCCAUAUAAAUCAAGCUUUUAUUUAAAACUCAUAUAUUUUGAAUUAUUAUAAAUGAGAUUUAAAUUAGGGUUCAUACUCAUUAUUUUUAUUUGCAAGAUUAUGAGAUUUUGAAAGAUUUUAAAGAGGAAUUGCAAGUCUAUUUUCAUAUUUUCAUGCUUAUUGCAAUAAUUUCCAGAUUCUGUGAUGAAUUAUCAUUGUUUUCAUUAUCAAGCAUGAUUAUUAUGAUGUUUUGACAUGAGAUUGUUGCAUGGGUUGUUACCCCAAAAGAUUGAAUAUUAUUAUUUCAAGAAAGAUGGUGCUUUAAGCAUCCUAUGAGCUGACUAUUUUAGAUUUACAAUUAAGUUUUGACCUUUUGAUCCUCAGAUAAGUUUUGGAAUCCACUUUACAGAAUUUUUACAGAUUACAAAAAGUAAAAUAGCUUCAUUUACAGAUUGAUUCAGAUAAAUGCAUAACUGGUUUCGUAAUAAACCCUUCUGCCAUUUUUAAAGUAGAUUUCCAACAAGAUGAGUGUAGCAAAUUAAAAGGAGUAGUAUUUAGCACUGAGUUGGGUAUGAUUCCAGGGUCUCAUACCCAAGAACUACGUGCCACCUUAGAAUUGAGAUUAAAGAUCCCAUAGUGGGCUGAGAUAGUGAUCACUAAAGCUGAGGUUAUACUCCCUGAAAAGAGUAUGACACCUCUACCCAACCUGAGGUUUCCUCCUUAGGAGGACAAGACAUUGGACUCCAUGUAGCCCACAUAGUUUAUGCCGGUUAAGAGGAACUCCCUAAUAAAAGAGUUUUACAAAAUAUCUUUGAAAGAAUUCCCGACUAUUAAAGAAAAGCUUUUAGCAAACUGAGUGUAAAAGCUCACAGUUUUAAUCAGAUUAUGCUUUAUAGAAAAAUAAUAGUUAUAGAUUUCAGCUUUCAGGUUACAGAUUUAAGAGUGACUCCUUUAUACACUUAGACAUAUGAUUUAAAGAAAGAAUACAAGUACAAAUUUUAGAACUAAAUGUUAUGACUCACUAGAUUUAUAAAGUAUGAUUUUCUUCUUAUUAUUUUAGAUUUCAGUAUUUCUGAUAUUCCAGCUUAUGUGAGUCAUUUACAUUUAGCAUGCAUUAUUUUACAAAUUAUGAUGAUCAUAUGAUGUUUUACUUAUACAUUUUAGUCGUAAAAUACCAUGAUUUGGGCACGUAGCGCGUCGCAGAGAGGUGUAAAAUCACAAUUGUCAAAUUCCAGUAAGACUCCGCGAUUCCACCACUUCGCGAAGGAGUCCUAUUUCACAUUUGUCAAUUUCCAAUAACCUAACGCGAUUGUGAUGCAUCGCACCAGUGGCCAAAAUGGCAAAACUAUAGGGCUCCGCAAUAGCUCUGCGUUGCGGAGAAUGUCCAAUUUCCACUUGGCCUUUUCCAGUGAGCCACCGCAAUUAUGGCACAUCGCGGUGGCCAACCAAAUUGAAAAAAAAUAUUGCAUUUUUUAGUUCCGACUUAGGGUUUAAAAAGGACAUUUUGGUAAAUGUCCAAGACCCCAAUUCAUCCAAAAUAAGGGAUUAAUCAUAUUCUAAGCACUUUAUGCCCGAAUUCCUCCAAUCUCUCUCAAAGCAAAACCCUAGAGCUCCAAAGCUUCUUCUCUAAGUAACCAAAAUUGUCCAUAGAUUCUCCAAGAAAACUUCAAAUUGAGGAUUCUCAAGGCAAGAUAAUCAAGAACUCAUCUCCAAGAACUCAAUAGGAAAUCCAAGAUUCAAAUUUUUCAUCUAAGAUCAUUAAUUAAGGUAUGUGGGGUUUAUGAACAAGGAUCUUCUUCCAUCCUUGUUCCCAAAAACACCAAUAUUUUAUUUAAAUUUCAUAUGACUUUGAAUGAUUAUAUAUGAGAUUUAAAUUAGGGUUCAUACUCAUUAUUUCCAUUUGAAAGAUUAUAAGUUUUUGAGAGAUUUUAAAGAUGAAUUGCAUGUCUAUUUUCGUAUUUUCAUACUUAUUGCAGUAAUUUCUAGAUUUUGUGAUGGAUUAUCAUUGUUUUCAUUAUCAAGAAUGAUUCUUAUGAUGUUUUGACAUGUGAUUGUUGCAUGGGUUGUUACCCCAAAGAUUGAAUAUUAUUAUUUCAAGAAAGAUGAUGCUUUAAGCAUUCUAUAAACUGACUAUUUCUGAUUUACAAUAAAGUUUUGAUCUUUUGAUCCUCAGAUAUGUUUUGGAAUUCACUUUACAGAUUUUUUACAGAUUACAGAAAGUAAAAUAGCUUCAUUUACAAAUUGAUUUAGAUAAAUGCAUAACUGGUUUCGUAUUAAACCCUUAUUCCAUUUUUAAAGUAGAUUUCCAACAAGAUGAGCAUAGCAAAUUAAAGGGAGUAGUAUUUAGCACCGAGUUGGGUAUGAUUCCAAGGUCUCAUACCCUAGAACUAGGUGACACCAUAGAAUUAAGAUUAAAGAGCCCAUAGUGGGUUGAGAUAGUGAUCACUUAAGCUGAGGAUGUACUCCCUGGUAAAAGUAUGACACCUUUACCCAAUGUGAGGUUUCUUCCUUAGGAGGAUGAGAUGUUGAACUCCAUGUAGCUCACAUCAUUUAUGUCGGUUAAGAGAACCUCCCUAAUAGAAGAGUUUUAUAGAAUAGCUUUGAAAGAAUUCUCUUCUAAUAAAGAAAAACUUUUAGCAAACUGAGUAUAAAGGCUCCCAGUUUUACUCAGAUUAUGCUUUAUAGAAAGAUAAUAGUUACAGAUUUCAACUUUCAAAUUACAGAUUUAAGAGUGAGUCCUUUCUACACUUAGACAGUAUGAUUUAAAGAGACAAUACAAGUACAACUUUUUAGAACUAAAUGUUAUGAUUCACUAGAUUUAUAAAGAAUAAUUUGCUUCUUAUUAUUUUAGAUCUCAGUAUUUUCGAUAUUCUGGCUUAUGUAAGUUAUUUACAUUUAGCAUGCAUUGUUUUACAAAUUAUGAUAAUGAGAUGAUAGUUUACUUAUGCAUUUCACCCUCAUAUACUCAGUACAUCCUCAAAGUACUAAUCUACAUAUGUGUCUAUGUGUUACAUUGUCUCAUAAUAUAGGUACAAGUUGUAGCACACACACCAUAUUCCAACAUUGUUUCAUAAUGUAGGUAUAAGUUGUAGCACACAUACCAUAUUCAGUCAGUUUGUAGCUUCUAGUCAGCAGGUGAUGAGUCCUUUUGAUUCAAGAGCUCGAGUCAGUUAUACAGUUUGAGCAAUAUUUUAUUUUUCUUUAUUUAUCGUAUUGAUUUGGGAUAGUGGGGGGUCAUGUCCCGGCUGCCUAUUGUCAAUACUAGUAGAGGAUUCAUAGACAGUAAGUAGAGUUAAUGUAUUUAAUUUAAGUUUGUUUAUAAAAUCAGAGUUGUAAUUAUUUGAAUUUUUUUUGUAUUGAUCAGAGUCAUAAAAGAGUUAUCUUCCCCUCAUUCCAUUCAGAUUUAUGUAGUUUAUCCAGUUGCUUAUGAGAUAUGCCAGUAGAAGGUUAGCUUGGGAUCACUUGUGGCCCUAAGCACCGUGUGACAUUUCGAGAGUUAUUUUUGGUAUGUUAUAGUUUAUUUCUUAUCUUAGAUCUCGGAGGUUAAUAUCUGAGGGUUAUCUUUAUCACUUGGUCCAGGUUAAAGAUUCUAACUAGGAAGGACCUUAUUUACAAUCAGUUCCUAUGGUUAAUGAGUUUCCAGAGGUUUUCCCAGAUGAUCUUCCUAGUAUUCCUCCAAAUAGAAAAAUAAAGUUUUGUAUUAAUUUGCUUUCGGACACUCGUCCAAUAUCUAUUCCUCCGUAUAGAAUGGCUCCGGUUGAGUUGAGGGAACUCAAGGAGCAAUUUAAGGAUCUUCUAGACAAGGGGUUUAUUCAUUCUAGUAUUUCUCCGUGGGGAGCACCGAUGUUGUUUGUGCACAGGAAGGAUGGUUCCCUUCUAUGUGCAUUGACUACAGGUAGUUGAAUAAGGUAAUGGUCAAGAAUAAGUAUCCUCUCCAAAGGAUAGAUGAUCUGUUUGAUCAUUUACAGGGUGUCAAUUUUUUUCUAAGAUAGAUCUUUGGUCUGUGUACCAACAGCUUAAGAUUAGGGAGGUGAAUAUCCCUAAGAUGUCUUUUCAUACUUGGAUGGGCAUUUUAAGUUCCUGGUAAUGUCAUUUGGGUUGAAAAAUACUCCGACGGUAUUUAUAGAUUUGAUGAAUAAGGUGUUUAAGCAAUAUUUGGAUCUCUUCAUAAUUAUGUUUAUUGAUGACAUUUUGGUUUAUUCAAAAAGUGAGGUAGAUCAUGUUAAUCACCUCCGUGUGGUAUUACAGACCUUAAAAGAGCAAUAGUUGUUUACUAAGUUCUCUAAGUAUGAGUUUUUAUUAGACGCGGUGACAUUCUUGGGUAAUAUAAUUUCUAGUGAAGGGAUCAUGUGGAUCCGCAGAAGGUUGCUAUAGUUUAAAGGUAGCCUAGGCCUAUGGCUCCAUCUAAUAUUCGAAGCUUAUUGGGUUUGGCCGGGUAUUAUAGGUGAUUUGUGAAAAGCUUUUCUAUUACAGCCACUCCUCUAACCAGGUUGACUCAGAAAAAGGCUAAGUUUUAUUGGUCAGAUGCUUGUCAAGGAAGUUUUGAAAAGCUGGGGGAUAAGUUGACUUCAACCCCAAUCCUGACUUUAUCAAAGAUGGGCUCAUAGUUUAUUGCGAUGUAUCUCGGGUGUGUCUUGAUUGUGUGUUGAUGCAGCAUGGGAAAGUGAUUGCCUAUACUUCCAGGCAGUUGAAGGUUCAUGAAAAAAAUUAUCCUAGUCAUGAUUUAGAGUUGUUAGAGGUUGUGUUUUCUUUAAAAAUAUGAUGGCGUUAUUUUGAUGGUGUUCACGUGGAUACGUUUUAUAAUCAAAAAAAUUUUCAGUACGUGUUCACUCAGAAAGAGCUUAAUCUCAGGCAUAGAAGAUGGCUUAAGCUUUUCAAAGAUUAUGAUAUGAGUCUUUACUACCACCCAGGUAAGGCUAAUAUGGUUGUUGAUGCUCUUAGCAGGUUAUCCAUGGGGAUUUUAACUCAUGUAGAUGAGGGAAAGCUAGAAUUGGUGAAGGAUAUUCACCGUUUAGCAAAUUUUGGAGUUCAUCUUUCAAACUCUAAGAAUGAUCAUGUGAUAGUUCAAGAAGUGAAUUGAUCGUCUCUUAGUGCAGAGAUUAAGGAGAAGAAAAUUCUGGAUCCUUGAUGAAAAUCAAGAGUGGCGUUGGUGGUAAAAAGGUAAUGGAAUUUGAGAUUGGUGGUGAUGGUACUUUCGAUACAUAAGAAGGUUGUGUGUUCGUGAUAUCGACAGGUUACGGCAAAGAAUUUCAGCUGAGGCUCUUGAAUCAUGCUACGUUGUUCAUCCCAACACAAAAAAGAUGUAUCAUGAUCUCAAGGAGAACUGGCCAAGUGUAUGUGAGUCAACAAGUUAAGGUUAAGCACAUGAGGCCUGGUGGAUUAGAUCAAGAAAUUGAGUUGCCAAAAUGAAAGUGGUAAGUAAUUAAUAUGGAUUUUGUUACCGAUCUUUCUCGGUCUCAAACUAAUUUGAUUCAAUUUGGGUCAUCGUGGAUAGGAUGACAAAGUCUGCUCACUUUUUGCCAGUGAGGACUGCUUUUUCGAUGAAGGAUUAUGUGAAUUUGUACCUUUGAGAGAUCGCGAAGCUGCAUGGGGUACCUAUCUCGAUUGUUUCUGAUCGUGGUAUGUAGUUUAUAUCUCACUUCUGGCUGUCUUUCCAAAAAGGAUUGGGGACUAAGGUUAGUCUGAGUACUAUUUUUCAUUCAUAGUCAGAUGGGCAAGCAGAGAGAACUAUUCAGAUAUUGAAGGAUAUGCUUCGAGCUUGUGUGAUUGACUAUGGUGGCAAUUGGGUUGAGCAUCUGCCUUUGGUAGAGUUUGCUUACAACAAUAGCUAUCAUUCUAGUAUUGGUAUGGCUCCUUUUGAGGCAUUGUAUGGUAGGAGGUGUAGAUCUCCUAUUGGGUGGUUUGAUCUUGGUGAGGCAGAUAUGUUUGGUCCUUAUUUGGUCUAUCAAGCUAUGGAGAAGGUGAAGGUGAUUUGGGAUAGGCUUAAACCUGCCCAAAAUCACCAAAAGUCUUAGGAGAAUGUUACGCAUAAAGAUUUGACGUUUGAGGUCAAGGAUAAGCUAUUCCUAAUGGUAUCUCCAGAGAAGGGAGUGGUGCAGUUUGGCAAGAAGGGGAAACUCAAUCCUUGAUUUAUUAGUCAUUAUGUGAUUUUGCGAAGAGUUGGUAAUAUUGCUUACGAGUUAGAGUUUCCAUCUAUCUUAAGUUUUGCUCAUCCGGUCUUUCAUGUUUUUAUGUUGAGGAAGUGCAUUGGUGAUCCUUCUUCGAGUAUUUCUUUAGAAGGAUUGGAUAUCUUCGAUUCUCUGUCUUAUGAAGAAGUCCCAGGUGAGAUAUUAGAUAGGCAAGUUCAUCAAUUGUGAACCAAAGAUGUGUCUUCGGUUAAAGUUCUGUGGUGGAACCAUAAGGUAGAAGAAGCUACGUGGGAAGCAAAAAAGGACAGGAAGUCCAAGUAACUGCACCUUUUUCUGCUCUUGGGAUUCGUGCGGAAGGUAUGUAUUCUUGACCACAUCUUUAUUUUCUGAGUUUGUUAAAAGAAAGAUUAAUAUCCUUGCCUUUUUGUUUUUGAACUUUGAUGAAGGUUGGGAAUAUUUUUGAUAAUUCAAAUGACUUUGUGUGUGGUUACCCCUACCUUAUUCGUUAUUUAGUGAUGAAUGUUCCUAUUGGGGGAGAAUGUUACAUCCUGUGUUUUGGCCUUAGAAAAUUUCCUAGAAUUCCCGUUCUCCCAACCCAAUACUACUCAUAGAUACGCGCUGUAUGUUGGAGUACGAGUGGUAUGGUCAUGUCAUAUAUUGAUCAGUGUUAGAUAGUGUGAUGGUUUUGAUCACUGGAAUGGUUAUGACUUAGGGGUAUGAGUCAUAGGGCUUGGUAUGGGUCGCAGAGACUCGUAUGGUGGCCAGUAUUUGAUCCUCCUGGUAUUUCCUUCUUCCAGGUAUAUGGUUAAUGGGUAUGGAUCAUAUGUUGUAGUUACGACUUGGUUGGAUGAGUCAUAUAUUGGAUAGUGUUUGAUCCAAGGGUUGAGACUUGGAUAUGAGUGUGGAUACCAACUGUAUAAAAGGGUAUGACUCAUAAGGUUCAGUCGUAUCCUUGGGAUGGGAUUUUGUGCAACUUAAGUAGGGGUAUUCUGGAUAUUUUCCUACAUACCCUAAUUAGGAUCCAUGACUUCUAAUACACUUAAGAGGUUAUUUACCCUAGUAUUCUAUCCAUUAACACUAAGAAACUAUUCCUAAACAUCCAAUAAUUCAUUCAAGAGCUUUUGGGGCAAGGAAGCUAAGGGUUCAACUAAGGGAUUACUUUGGGGAUUACAUUGGUGAUUUUCUUCCGUCAUCUUUCUUGGUUUAAGGUAUGAUUUUCUUCCCUCAUUGUAAUUUCAACUAAAGGCAUGAUUUAUAUUAUUGAUUCUAUGAUUUUACUAUUUCAUGAUUUUGGUUUUCAACUAUUAUUUGGGGGUUUUGAUAUUAAAUGCUUGGUUAUGGUUUUAUAUAUACAUUAAUGGUGGUUUUGUACAGUUGGAUUUCAUGUUAAUUGUUUAAUGGUUUUUGGAAUUGGUUUUGUUUAAAUUAUGCCCCCCAAGGUGUUUGAUAAAAUGCUUAUAAAGGUAUGGUUAUUUUAUUGACUUCUUUUAAUGGAACUAUUGCUUGUUUUCAGCUUAUAUAUUAAAGCUUUAAAUGGUUUACGAAGGUUUAAGGCUAAUUAGUUAUGCUUGUGGGGAUCAUGGAAGUCUUUCAAGAGGUUAAUAUGGUAAAUGAAAAGGGCACUUGAAAUUUCCCUUAACCUUAAUGGUUUGGCUGUGGAUGUUGCUUGCAAAUAAUGGGGUGGUAUGAUGAUACCACUAAUAUCAUCCUGGAUUAAUAAAAUGGCAAAUAGAUUGGUUUGAUUACUUAGAAACAGUUUUAAUUGGACAUUAAUGGCGGGGUGUGUAGCAAGGGCAUGGAAGGUGGUAGUCUUAGGGGGACCAAAAUUGGAAACUCAUAUUUGCCAAUAUGAGGGGUCUUGAUGACCACGUGCGAGUGUUACGUUUUAUAUUAAAGGGAUGUACCAGUCAUCCCAUAGGAUAUUUUUUGGUCGUGUGGCUUCAUACAUUGGGGCCUUUUAGCAGGGAGAGCUAAACUCAUAUCACCCGUGGGUAGUUAGGACGACCAAGAUACACAGUACAGGUAAAGGUUUUAAAGGCAUGCUAAACCCGGUUCCCUUUCCAAGCACUUAUAUAUAUGUAUGGUUGUAUGCAUUAUGGAUGGUUUUACUUGGUUUUAUAACUGGCAUUAUUUAUUAAAUUCAUUAGAGAUUGAAAUUUGGCAAGUGCAUUCGUCAGUCCAAAAGGCAUCUCCUUGAAUUUAAAAUGUCCAUGAUGUGUUCGAAACCCUGUCUUUGAAAUAUCCUCCACCUUCAUCUGUAUCUGGUGAUAACCAGAUCUUAAAUCUAUUUUGAAACACGGAUAUUAUCCUUGCAACAUCCAACAAGUCAUCCACUAUAAGAAUAGGAAAUUUUUCUUUGAUAGUGAUCUUAUUUAGCUCUCUAUAAUGAAUACACAACCUCCAACUUCCAUCACGGGAGAAUAGUAUGAUGAGUGUAUAGUUUGAAUAAUCCCCAUUUGUAACAUUUUUGUAACUUGCUUCUCUAAUGCAUCCUUAUGGUAGUGAUUAUAUCUAUAAGGCCAUAAGAAAACUAGUUUAGCACCAGAAAUAACUAUAAUUGCAUGAUCUUGAGCUUUAACUGGUGGCAAUUAAUAGGUUCUUCAACUACCUUAGUAUAGUCACUUAAAACUUCUUAUACUUCUCGGGGUAUUGUCUCCUUCGAUUCUAUCAUUCCUCCUUUCAUAGUAAAGAGGUGAGUUAGAAAGGCUUGCCCCUUUCUCAAUAUUUUGCCCAUGGAUCUAAUGUAAUGAAACUUGUCAUGUGUCCCCUAUCAAUAUCACUAUAUCGCUCUCUUGUUUGAUCCAUAACUCAUAAUCAAAUGUCACAAGUUUGUGUUCUCUCAUCCAGUUACCACCAAGCACCAUGUCACAACUGCGUAAAUUCAUCAUCCUAAAUUUUUCCUCAAACUCCACAUUACUAGCUUUCCAUUUCACUAUGUAUACACUAUGAUGGCUAUACAUUUUCUGGCCAUUGGCAACUGUUACUCCCAAUGGAGUAUGUACUUGUGACACUACUCCUAGCUCCUUGGAAGUUUAAGUAUCUAAGAAGUUAUGAGUGCUACCAGAGUCUACUAGUAAUACCACUACUCUUUUUAUUUUAUCCAUCCCUUUAGCUUUAAGGUGUUAGGUUCUUAGAUCCCUGACAUUACAUUUAAGCAAAGUUCUUCUUCCUCUGCAACCUAUUAUUGUGUAACCCCUAUUUCUUCUUGUAUCCCUUUAUGUUCUACUACUUCUAUUCCCUCAUCUAUCCCUUCUUAUAUUGUCAUAGUUUUCAGCAUCUUAUCCCUGCAAAUAUGCCUCAAAAAAAGCCUUUCUUCAUAUUUCGAACAAAAACCAGGAAUUUUUCUGUAGUCAGGUUUACUCUCACUCUUGGUUAUAGUAGUUUCUGGCUUUUCAUUAGCAUGACUGAUCCUGUGCAUAUCCUAGUUUGCUAGGAAAAACUAUUGUUCCUUUUUGCACUCCCUUGAAUUUUCUCUCUCUAGCAUUGAUCACCUUCUCCAGUUUCUUGGUUAGUGACACAGUUUGUGCCAUAGUAUAUGGAUCAUGCAUUUUACAAACUUCUCUGCUCUCUUCUUUAAGUCCUCCAAUAAAACACUCAAGUAUGAAAACAUCAAGAACUCUAGAAUUCUUCAUCAACAGUUGGGCUCUUAAAUCUUCAAAUUUCAGUAGAUACGCUUGAACCUAUGAGCAUCUUGAACUCACUGAUCACACUCACUACUAUCAUCAUCAAACCUCUACACCAAAUUUUCACAGAAUUCCUCCCACCUUACCUACUUCUUAGUAGGUGUGUAGGAAAAGUACCAUACCUCAGCAUUCCCUUCUAAAUGCAAUGUGGCCAUCUCUAGUUUCUUGUUAAGGUCUAUCACCUUGUAUAUAUUAAAAUAUCUUUCACAUUUUCUGAUCCAUGCUCUAGGUUCAACUCCACUGUAACUUGGAAAUUGCAGCUUAGGAUAGAACUUCCAGCUUGUCCCUCAUCAUUAUGACCUAGCCCUCUAUCUCCUCCUCCUCUAAGUCUAGGUAGUAGCUUAUUCCCUUGACUACUACCUACGUGUUCUGAGUUGGGAUUCACACCUCGUCUUUCUAACAACCUCAUGAGACCAGCAUGCAUUUCUUCUAUCAUUUGCUUCAGGUCCAACUAUGUCGCACCUAACUCUGUCAUCUUCGAUUCUAGCAUAGCAAACUUAAAUUUAAAUUCUACCUUAUUAGCUUGAACUGUAGCCUUUACCUUCUCCAUUGUUCCUAUGUUUGUUUAGCCCGAGUAGCAUUCACCCCAGUCAUUCUACUACGGGUAUGGUCAAAAUCGUUGCUCUGAUACCACUUUGUAAUGAACUCAAUAUAAAAGAGGCAAACACAAUUUCAAAAAUUCAAGAAAUUCCACUAAAACUGAGGUAUGAAUAGUACUCAAUCGUAAUUACUGAAAUUCAGAAUACUUUAACCGUAAUUCAAACUACAAUUAAAUGAAAAUAUAAUUCGACAAACUCGACUAUAAUUCCAACUCGACUAGUCAGCCAUCAAUGAUUUCAACAAAUUCAACUCAAAUCCAGCACAAUUAAUCUCCAUACCUAAUACAAUAAUCAAAUUGAAGAUCAUAUUGAGUCCAAUUAAUCCUAGAUAAUUUUAAUCUGAGUUGAAUUUCAUAAAAAAUAAAAUUUAGAAAUCAAGAGAGAAGGAAAGAAUGAGAUUAGAUUUAGGACAAUGGAAGAGAAAGGGAAAAGAAAAGAGAGGGAAGAGCACAAGUUGAGUGUAUAUUAAUUUUCACAAUGACCUCUCAUUUUGGAUUGUUUUGUAUAUAUGUGUUCCUUGAACAAAUCUUAACCUUUGAUCUGCAUUUAAUCUCCACCCUUGAUUGCUAACAAACUCAACUUUUAUUAAUUGAGUCCAAACGACUGAGUAUUACUUCAUUAAGUUGAAGUUCUAUAAUUGGAUCAUUACAAUAAGCUUACCAAACAUGACUAAGCCCUAAUCCACUCUAUAACUGGGUCAUUACAAUAAGCUUACCCAACAUGACUAAGCCCAAAUCCAAACUAUUUUUUGUUAUUUAUGGAGCUUUAUCUUUUAUUUUUACAACUUUUUACCAAGUCUACACCUAUUUUAAGAAAUUGUAGAUCUUUCUAGAUAAUUCUUUUCAUGUGAUUUUAGAUAUACCAAAUUUCCCACUCUAAAAUGCACCGAAGAUUAUGUUGUCGGCCUAAUCAUAAUUGAGAAAGUAAGACCAACUUAAGACUAUUAGUAGAGCAUAAUACAUAAAUUAUCAUAAAGUUGAACAAAUACACAUACAAGUUCUUGGUGCAUUUUAAUACUAUUCGUGGUGUAUGUCCAUCUUCAUUGGUAGCACUAUGUGUCAUUAUUCAUAUUAGUUUAUGGUAGAAUGUGACCUUUGAUCUUUUGAUAACUCUGAUAACCUCUAAUGCAUUAUUCCCUCAUAACUCUACCUCUUUAUGCUUGAAACUCUUGUAAACACUACUACAUGAUCUACCCACUUAAUAUCCCACUACUCUCUCAUGUACUAGAUGAGAGAAAUGUUGUAUUACCUAUAUAAGGGUGUUUUCUUCCUUGCGUUGAGAGAGAAAAAGUAGUAUAUGUAAGACAAGAAGUGAAUGAGAAAUAUUAUUUGUGUUCUUAUUUUGAGUUAUUGUAGUGAAAGAGAGAGUUGAGACAAAGAAAAUAUUUCAAAACUCCAACUAUAUUUUUAUUAGUGAAAGAAAGAGUUGAGACAAAGAAAAUAUUCUAUGUCUGCAACUAUAUUCACUACACAAAAGAAAGUAAUUAUAUAUAUAUAUUGAAGGAAGAUAUUCUUUUGGUGGAUCUUUGAACUCUUCAACUAAUCCGGAGUUGCUUGAGUUGCGAAGUUAUUAGGUUGUUGUGUUAUGGAGAGGAUAAGUCAAGAGACAUACUGCAGGAUCGGUGUAGAUUAUACCACAGUGGACUUGAAUCUCCUUUAAGAGAGCGAGAUAUUCGUGCCUUCGCCUAACUUUUAUUUACUAAAUUUUUGUUUAUUUUAUUUUCAACUAUAAUUUAUUGUAAUUGCGGUAUCUUACACCAGCACAAGCCAUACAUGUCAAUUUGUGUGAGACUCCAUGUAGGAUGCGCAUAUUUACUUGUUAAAUUUUAUACAAGUUUAAGUGUUUAAUUGUGCACACCAUAAAUUAGAGGAUAUAGAAGUCAGUUGUGGCCAAAUUAAAAGAUAUAUUUAUGAAGUAUGCCCUCAAUAAAAUUUGCGCCUAAAUUUGAAGAAGGAAAAUCUAAAUAUAAUUUGAAUUACCUGAAAAUCCCUUUAGAGUUAGUUAUAUUGGGAUUUAAACUUUCCGAAGGAAAAUUUUAUGUAAGGAAAGUUUAUACUUAUGGAAAGUCUAAAAGACUUGGUUGUUCGUAUGUCCAAUUAGGAAUUGAAUUCGAGAUUUGCUAUGUAAAGUUUUUCAUGAAAGAUUAAUUAUAGAAUAAACUUUAUCACCUUAUAGAUUAAUUAUAGAAUAAACUUUAUCACCUUAUACAAAUAGAAAAAAAGGUUAUAGGUAAUGCCUAUAUAUAAAGGGUUAUGAAAAAGAGUUUCAUAAUAAUUUUUGUUUAUGAGAAAAACACUUUGUGACGUUGAACGUGUGUGCGUACUACACGACAACAAAAUAUUGUGUCGAGAUUUUUGAGAAAAUUUCAACUCAAUAUUGUUGAUUCAAUUUGUUCGUGAGUUUUAUUGGUUAAGAAGUUAAUAGUAAAGAUCUGUCUCCUGAGGAUAAGCAUAGAGUAUUAGUCUCAGUGUGGAUAAAAUUUUGAACUGCGAAUCUCGUUAGGUUUGUCUUGAAACCUAUUCUUUUCUGACUACAGUUGCUUUUUAUCUUCCGCUACGAACACCAUACCAGUUUUUUCACCAAAAUAAUAAGUGGUUGGCAAUGGCAUGGUAUUUGUAUGAGCUUGAAACCGUCCCUCAUCUGAGGAUAAAUAGUUGAUAAAUGCACAGGGAAAUAGUGUGUGACCGUAAAGUGCUUGGGUGCUUUUGGCAACGUCAAUUACGUUGUUUAAUGAGCUUGUUGCCUCAUUAUUUUCAGAUUCUCUGUAACGAACAUAACUAUGGCCCUGUUUGGUCAUGAAAAUAAUAACUUGCUGGUGUUGGAGUCGUGUUGUGUUUGACCGUGAAAAUAAAUUGGAGUUGUUUUUGAAAUUUUAAAAAAGAAAUAAGAGUGAAUAAAGUGUUUUCGUUUUCCAAAAACAUUUUUCACUAAGGUGAAAUAAUUCUUAUAGUCAAACAUUACUAUUUCACUUUUUUCACUGAAGUGAAAUAAUUUUUUGGAAAAAAAAUGAAUACAAUAUUUGAACAGAUUGCGUCUUUACCACCAAAUGGGUGGUUACAUAAAAUGAGACUAUCACCUCUGUGCUAGAGUCAGCUUACAAUAAUAGUAAAAACAGCAUACCAAGAAAUCCCACUAUAAGUGUAAGGGGAGGGUAUACUGUACCCAAACCUUACCACUACCUUCACGAGAGACUAUUUUUGAAAAACCCUUGGCUAAAGUGCAAUUUGGAGACAUAAUAUCGAAAACAACGACAUACCCAAUGAAAUUUCACAAGUGUAGGAAGAGUAAAGUGUACACAUACCUUACCACUACUCGAGAAGGCAAGUGGCUAUUUUCGAAAGACCCUCAGCUCAAGUGCAACUUGGAGAUACAAUAUCAACAACAUGAUAUUCAGUGAAAUUUCACAAGUGAGGUCUCAAGAAGGUUGAGCAUAUGCAGACCUUACCACUACCGAAAAGGCAAGAGGUUAUUCUCGAAAGACCCCUCGGCUCAAGGGUAACUUGGAGAUACAAUGCCAACAACAAGAUAAUCAUUGAAAUUCCAUAAGCGAGAUCUGGAGAGGAUAGAGCGUAUACAGACCUUACAACCACCUCGGGAGGUAAGAGGCUAUUUCUGAAAGACCCUCGGCUCAAGUGUAAUUUGGAGACACAAUACCGACGACAACAACAUACCCGGUGAAAUCUCACGAGUCUAGGGAGAGUAGAGUGUAUGCAUACCUUACCACUAAGCGAGAAGGCAAGAGGUCAUUUUCAAAGACCCUCGACUCUAGUGCAACUUAAGAUACAAUACCAAUUGCAAAAACAUAUCCCGUGAAAUCUCACAAGUGAGAUCUGGAGAGGGUAGAAGGUGUGCUCCCCUUACCACUACCUCGGGGAGUUAAGAGGCUAUUUUCAAAAGAUUCUCGGCUCAAAUACAAUUUUAGAGAUACAAUAUCAAAAGUAAUAACAUACCCUGUGAGAUUUCACAAGUAGUAUUUAGAAAGGGUAAUGUGCACUGACCUUACCACAAUCUUGGAGAGGUGAGGGGCUAUUUUCAAAAAAUCCUCAACUAAAAUGUAAUUUGGAGAUACAAUACCAACAGCAACAACAUAUCCCAUGAAAGCUCACACGUGAGGUUUAGAGAGGAUAGAGUGUAACUGACCUUACCAUUACCUCGGGAAGGUAAGAGGCUAAUUCCAAUAGUCAGCUCAAAUGCAAUUUGGAGAUACAAUACCAAUACCAACAACAAUAGCAUAUCCCAUGAAAUCUCACAAGUGCACUCUGGGGAGGGCAGAUUGUACGCUGACCUUACUACUACUCUUGGGAGAAAAAGAAUUGUUUCCAAAAGACUCUCGGCUCAAUUGCAGUUUGCAUAUACAACACCAACAUACUCAGCAUAUUCCGACAAGUGAGGUCUAGGGAUGAUAGAAUGUACGAUAAGUGAGGUAGAAUGUACGCAAACCUUACCACUACCUUGUGGGGGUAGAGAAGUUGUUUUCGAACGAAGAUACAAUACCAAAAUACAUUUUCCCGAUGUUCUGUCCACUGCUCCUACUGAUGUUACCUAGCUUGAAUUUUCACGUCUGUCAUUCUCAGUUAAGGAACCACUGGAUUUUGACUGCAAGAUGUUCGAUACAAUGCUGAAGCGGGAUCUUUUUGCAGAAUUUCAUAGUCCUAGUACACCUAUUGGCGAAAUUGCCCAUAAACUUUUUGAUAAAAUUGCUAAAAGAAGCAAAUGUUUUGCAAUGUUGUACAACGUAUAUAGAAAGUGCUCAUUUUUGUAUUCUCUUGAUGGGGUUGCUACAUCUACUAUAAAGCCGUACAUAAUUGAUCAAUUGAGGUAUGUAGAGCUCGAUUGCAAGAGGAUUAUAGAUGCACUACAUCAGAGGACUAACUCAGCACUUGUAGCAAGAAAGAUGGUAGAUGCCUUAGGGUGCUGUAAAUGUGAGCCACCGCGACAAGAAUAUGCACCUUUCAACCCUAUGGCUAUUGUGCCAAUACAACCCUUUGACUAAUGUCACUUAUACUAGUGACCAAUCAUUUGAGAAGAAAAUGAAAGUGGAUAAUCCUCAAUACUAUGGUGGACUAUCAAAGCAGUAAUGCGAUUCAUCUCGGACUUUUGAUUGAAAAAAUUACUCUUUUGAUUGCAUCCAGUAGAAAAGCCUUAUACUAAUAUCCAAUAUACACAUGAGUUUAUGUGCUGGAUGGAUAGUUGAAAGAGUAUAUACAUGUUGUUCUUGGUGGAGUUGUUGAAACCUUUAACAACUGUUUUAUCUAUUUAUGGAAAUCCAAUAUGGGACUGCAUAUCCGCCUUCCUCAAUCAAUACUUUGGGCUGCUGUGGCACAGAUAUAUGGAGUUUAUUGAUCAUUCUCUGCCUGUUCUUUUGGGGUCGUCUGAUGAAGUUGCUAAAGCGAGGGGAUCAUUAGAGACUGCUAAUAAUUUGCUUGGGGACUUCAGAUCUUAUGUCUGUCUGUUUUCUGAUAGUAUGGCACGCCCAACAAUGUUAUCUUUGUUGAUUGAGCUCCUUUCAUCUGAACAAGUAGAACCUGACUUGCCUCUUCUGCUACCUUUUGACUUUUGGGUGUACGAUUGGGGAUUUUACAAGUCCAGUUAAUUUGGAAUUGGUAAUUUCUCAGCCUGAACAAAUACUUGAAUGGACUGGAUGUGCCUCUUAUCUAGAGGGCUGGACGUCGCUUUUGCCUCAACAACAAGCUGAAGGAAAUCCGACCCUUUCUGCGCAGACUGAAGGGAUGUCUAUGUUAUUUUCUGGUACACCUAAAUUUUCUCACCCUGUCCCUGCUGUGAACGAAUUUUUGCAUAAGGAACCAGUUGCUGCUGCAGAUAUUGAGAAAACGCACUAGAAAAGUUGAAAAUUGUCCUCUGCAAUUUGCUACUUAUCCAGACAUGCUUUGGCAUCCAUGUAUUCCACAAUGCAUAAACGAGCUGUUCUUGUAUAGUAUGAAGCACAACACAUCCAUGCUUUUCUCAAUAGCAUCUCCCCGCAACUAAGUGAGGAAGCCAUGCACACGAAGCUCGAUGCCUUUGUGAAUGAGUGUCAUCACAGUGUCAGUAUUCUCUAUGCAUGCUAUUGUACCGAGCCGAUGAGCUCAUUUGGGUUUGUCACGAUAAUGAUUUGUUGCAUAUGGACGAUACAUUGUGGUUUAUGCAAGAAAGCAAUACAACUCAGCUGAAAUAUCUGUUGUACAUCAAAAGCUAGCUCAUGAGGGGAAGAUUGCUCAAGAUCAUAUAAGGAGACCAAGGACCCUUUAACCCACCGAUGUGGGACUCCAACAAUAACUAUAUGUCAAAUUAUAUUUGGGACCCUGGAAAGAUGUCUAUAUGUAGAAGGGUGAAAUAAUCUAUCAGGGCUAUGUUAUGAAGUUGUCUCUUUAUUUCUUAGUUUUUUAGAUCAACUCUGGAACCUCCCUCCCUUCUUCCUUUUUAUUUCUUCUUCUUCCCUUGAAGAUCUGUUACUAGUUUGGAGCAAUUGUAAUGCUUUGAAGAUGAACUCUUAUAUUUGUACUUGUAAUUCCAAUUAUCCACUUCAAUACAAUAUGGCCUCAUUACAUUCUCCAUAAUGUACUCGCUAUUCAAUUGGUCCAAAAGGAUGUUCUUGUUUUUGCAUUGUUCAUGAUUCUUCUUCCAAACUUCCCAAUUAUUUGUUAAAUAUCUUUUUUAUGGAAUUGAUUCUUCCACAUUGCUGCUGAGUUAUCUGAUGAUAGCUGAUGCGAACUUUACAACUUUUCUAUUCUCCAGUCAUGAUCAUCUCAAGCGGCUACAGCAGCAGCAAGCCCAGGAGAUGCAACCACAGAGAGUUGUGGAUCUAGUUAGACGCCUGGAGAAGAGCUUGUUUAAGAGUGCUUCGACAAAGGUUUAUUGCUGUUUCAGUUUUUUUUAUUAUAUUGUAUGACAUAGAAGAUCGCGCCAUAAUGAAAAGUCAUUUCUAUUCAGUUUGUGAAUGAUGCUUCAUCUUUUUCAUGCUUUUAGGAGGAGAAUAUGGAUAUAUCGAGUCUGGAGAAUCGAUUACUUUCCCUGAUUAAACGCUUUCCUCUGAAUAAUCAUAGCCAACAAUUCUCCAACAUUAACUCAUCCGCCUCCAUUGGUACAAUGAUACCAACUCCAGGCAUGCCCCGAAGUUCGAAUUCGUCCCUUAUUGGAACAUCACCUGUCGACAAUUCCGUGACUGCCAGAAGUAAUAUUACAUCCUCUGCAGUUAACUCUGGAGGCUUCUUGCAGACGACCAAUUUCCCCUCUGCCAGUAUGCGUGGUGUUUCAUUUAUUUAAGCUGAUGAUAUUACUUUUCGGCAUUAUAUCUUUCCAAAUUAAUAAGGUAUUUACUUCACUCUGGUGUGACAGAACUCAUCCUUGCAGGCCCCUUGGCAAAUGGAUAUCAACAGUCUACAUCCAAUUUCUCUACAGAGGGACCUUUGGCCAGUCAAUCUGUUGCUAAUAGAACACAGUUGAAACCAAUAAUUUGAGCAGUGUCAUGAACAGAUCUGGUAACGUUACCUUUGAAAAGCAGUAUCUUAAUAUGCAGAGGUGGCUGUUGUUUUUGAUUCAUGCACGUCGAUGUUCUGCUCCUGAAGGAAAAUGUCCUGAAAGUAAUUCCAUACAUGCACAGAAACUAUUGAGGCAUAUGGAAAGAUACAGUAAAUUUGAUUGCCGAUAUCUUUAGUCCCCUGAAACAAAUGUUUUAAUUAAUGAUUAUUGGCAGUGCAAGAAUGUAAACUGUCCCGUUUGCAUUCCUGUCAAGAAAUUUAUGCAGACACAGCAAAAAGUGUUUGCUCGUCCUGGCUAUAUAUCUGAUAUCACAAAUUCCCUCAGUGGUACUUGUAGAAACUUUCAUGCUGUUGAAACUGCUUCUAAGUUGACUGGCAACCUCACUCCAGUGGCAGUUAAAACUUCAGAAAAUUUGCAGCCUUCUGUCACUGAAGUAAAGAUGGAAGCUCUUGCAAAUGCUGUGCAAGUUACUCCUGGAAAUACUGAUAUAGCAAAAGAUAAUUUGGAUGAUACAUACGCCCAAAGGUCUGCUGGUGAUUCUCUUGCAUCAAGUAUUCCAGGUUGUCUUGUGAAGCAGGAAAAUGUUAAUACUGGGAAGGACAUAAAUCAGCCUAAACAGGUAAAUACAUCAGCGCCUUCUGAAAAUGCAACUCGAUCCAAAUCUAGGAAGCCUAAAAUAAAGGGUGUCUCGAUGAUGGAACUUUUUAACCCAGAGCAGGUCUGAGAACACAUUUAAGGUCUGAGACAAUGAUAGGCCAGGUCAGUCAAAUAUAUUUUGAGCAUAAUGUUAUUUCGCUCAUGCUAUACUCUUCUACGUUUGGGAAUUCUGCAGUUUGGUUGUUCAAGGAAUUCUCAAUUAAACGAGUGAUUUUCUUUUCUUUUCUUUUUCUAGAUAAGAACUCAAUAGCCAGUAAGUCAAAAAUAUGGAUGGUUGGUAACCUGCCAUAUAAAGAAGUGGCCUGAGUUGCUUAAAGGAUUAAAUAGAGAACAUGUUUGCAUAAGUUCUUUCUUCUUUUAGCAUUUCUACACCUUGAGCAGGUAUUCUAAAGUUAUGAGGCAUACUGUGACCUGAGAUUUAUAUUGCAAUGAGUUGAAAUGAUUCUUCCAAUGUCAAGAACGUGAGGUAGCUGUCGUAACUGUUGGUCAGAUCAUUCAUAAAUUGUUCUAUGCCCUAGAGGGUGUCGUCUAGUGGUCAAUGAAUCUGGAAUAGGCCAUAGAAGACCGGGGUUCAAAUCCUAGCAAAAGCAAAAAAAAUGCCUUCUCUUUUGCUGUCUAAGGCUUGGGGAUGAAGUUACAUGGUACUUGUACUGGUCGGAGAUAGCAGGUACCCGGUAGGAGAUAGCAGCUACCAUGUUAUGUAGACUUAAUAAAACUGUUAACACUCAUUUCAUUUUCUAUUGAUCUUCAGUGCAUUUAGUUGGACAAGUGACUGAUUUUUGCUUUAUAUGGUCUUCAUUUUGGUGACAUGUUUGGUUUCAUUUCUAAUCUGUAUGAGUAAACUUUUUCCUUUCCUUUCUAUUUUGCUUGACAGAGCAAAGGAAAAGCAGAAAAAAAUAAAGCAACGGAGCAUUCUAUGAGUGAAAAAUCUUGUCAGUUAUGUGCAGCUGAGAAGCCAAGGUUGAAACCUCCAGCCAUAUAUUGUACUCCAUGUGGUGCUCGUAUUAAAAGUAAUAGGACGUAUUACACCAUUGGAGCCGGUGAUACACGACAAUACUGCUGCUUUCGAUGUUAUUAUAAGGCCAGUGGAGACAUCAUCAUUGUUGAUGGAACCACCAUUCCAAAGGCGAGGAUGGAGGAAAAGAGAAAUGGUGAAGAAACUGAAGAAUGGGUUUCUAACUCUUUGCAUUUCAUUUGACAAAUAUAGUAUCUUAUUUACUGUAGAAACGGGAGUUUGGAAACUUAGUGUCGAUGCUUUUUGUCUAUAACUUGUUUCUUUCCUUCUAGUUUUAAUGUUUAUUGGUCUCAUUAUAUAAGAGGUUACUGCUUUGCGCAGUGGGUGCAAUGUGACAAGUGUAAAGCUUGGCAACAUCAGAUUUGCGCUUUAUUUAAUGGUAGAAGGAAUGAUUGUGGGCGAGCUGAGUAUACCUGUCCCUAUUGCUAUAUAGCAGAAGUUGAAAGAGGUGAGUGCAAGCCUUUACCACAAAGUGCUGUUCUUGGAGCAAAAGAUCUGCCUCAAACAAUUCUCAGUGAUCACGUUGAGAAACGAUUAGCUAAUAGUUUGAAGGAGGAACGGGUAAAACGAGCAAAGCGUGAAGGAAAAGUUUAUGAUGAGGUACGUCAGUUGGCUUGAAUAACUUGUUUAUUACUCAAAGAUUACAAAGAUAUAAAUACAUGACGAGUAUAAACUAUGGUAACUAGAUAAUCAAACCCCAGACAUAUAUAUUAAUAUUACACAGCUGUAGUGAUUCUGUAGCACUCUGAUAAGUAAACAACAACAUCAACUAAUACUACACUCAGUUCCAAACAAGUCGAUGAUGAUUAUGUGAAUUCCGUCAGACCAUUUUUGUUAAUCUCAGUCCAAAAUUACAUAAAUAAAAAUAAGUACUAGGAGUUCUCUAUAUUUUUAUAAUGACUCUUUGGUGGGUCAAUAAAAGUCCUAGAAAGCAUGCCUAAACAUUCAAUAAAACUUUAUUACUCUUUCCUUUUUUUUUUAUAAGGUAAAUAAUUUUAUUAGCAAUUGGGGGAAAAACACCUAUCACUUUAUAACAAAUGACUCCUAGAAAGCUCAGGAUCUAAAGUAUACGUACUAACAUGGCUAAAACACAUUCCCAGCUAAUUGAUAUCAUUUUUAUGGAUUUUCUUGUUCCAUUAUGCUCUAUCUUUCUCCAAGUUUGCUUGGAUUCCAAGGAUUGUAUGCCCUUUGCAACUACUUUUCCAUGUGAUUUUACCUAGCUCAUCCUCUUAAACACCUUCACUCGCCAGAGUUUCAGACUGAUUGGUGCAUUUGAAGGUCAAUGCCUGUCACGACCCGAGUCGGGGCCCUAGCCGCGAUGGGCAUCCCGAAUCAUGAAGGCCCGAGAGACCCCUUAGCAUACUAUCAUAAGCAUAAUCCAUACAUAAAUCAAAGUGCGGAAGAUAUAAUAGUAUUCAAUGAAAACUUAUAAUCCGAAAAUGAGUCAACAAGAUAUGACAAUACAACACUUCAAAUACCGUCUACUACCAGUCUACGAAGCCUCUACUGAACUGAAAACACAAGUAUGACUAAACUGGGACAAGGCCCCCGGUCGGACCUUGAACUAAAAUCAAAUGAAAUCAACACAUGGGAGGCCUUCCGAAAUAAGGAAGGCUCACCAACUCCAAAUGUCUGGUAACGAUCUACUAAUUAGCGGGACCACGGGACUAUACCGUAUAACCUGAAAUAUAGGGGGUCAAUACCAAGAGGUACUGGUACGUAGAACAAUUCAAAAACAAAAUAUAUUUUUAUACAACAUAGGUGAGAACAUUUCAUAAAAACAUUUAACAUAAAGUAACUGGAAAACAUGGGCAUAAUUUGAUGAGCUUCAAAACAUUUUUUGUAAUCAUGAAUCAACUCUUUUUCUUACUUUUGAGCUAGAUGGUAUACCCUACAAGUCUAAUACCCACGGGCUAUAUGGGUCCGCCAUUAACUCGUCAGCCAAGCCCCCAAAAUCCAAGUUUGCCGCAAAGAUAGGGUUCCUAUAUACUAGUCUAGUAUACCAGUGCUCAGAGGCAAGUAUACAUUGGCCAUAGCCAAUCAUGUCUUCCGAAUCGGCAAAACUCGGUUCCCAGCAAUAAGCUCUUACACUCAAAUGCCUUCUUCGAGUAACUAUGUAACUAUCUUUAAGCCCAAUUUUAGUCUUUUAAAACGUGCAUCUUUCUCAAAACAUGGUCUGAAGUCUAAAAAGUCUGUAAUAUGAUCUAGUCUGAGUCUGUUAUGGCAUGUGUCUGAAUUGGUAUCGUCAUACCAAGACUUGCAAGUCGUAUAAGCCAUAUAAUAUCAUGUCAUAGUCUUUCCAUUCAAAAACAUGUUAUUGGACCACCAAAACAUUUAAACAUUAUAAUAGGCUUCUUAUGUCAAAACAUGUGAAAACUUAUGCACAUAUUCUCACUUUUUAAUACUUUAACACAUGGUGGUUAAUUCCUUCACAAUAACUCUUGCAAUUCUUUCAAUUAUCACAUUGAACAUUUACAAAUAAGAAAACACUCUCUCUUUAAUUCAUAACUAACAUCAAAUUCGUAAAUGAUAACAAAACAUUUGUCUUAUGCUUUAAAACAUGAAAUUGAAUAACCCAAAACAUGCUAAGUCGAACACAUUCAAAGUUGAGAGGGAAAUUUCAUGAAUCAUGCUCUCAUAUUAAUUCUCGAAAUCAUAUAACGUUUAAACACAUGAAUAUAAUUCAAUCUAUGGAAAACUUCAUGAUAGUCUCUUCAAAAUGGGUUCACAAUGCAUAUUCUUCAAAGUGUUCUCAAAACUAUUCAUAAAUACAUGAUUCCAUAACUUUAAAACUUGUUAAAAUAGUACACCAUGCACAUGAGGUUUUAGGAUAGUCCCACGUUCCUUAAGCUUCUAACUUGAAAGGAAAAAUAUUAUUCUUGAUGCUUUCUUGAAGGUUCUUGAACUUGGGGAACUUGAAUUCUUGAUUUCUUGGGGAAAAAGGAAUUGGAUUUGUGUUCUUGGGGAAAGGGGAUAGCUUUCUUGGGAGGAAAAUUAGAGAAGAAGGGCAAAAUUAUGUGCUACCUGAUGCCCAAGUCAUGAUAUGAAUAAUUGGGUUGAAGGGGAAAAGUGUUGGGUUCAUAGUAAAUGAGAGGUGUGAAUGGAAAAUGGAGAAAACCAAGUGGAAGAGAAAAAUUGAGAUCAUACCAAUAUGGAAAGUGUACUUAAAAAUAGGAAAGCUUACUAAAUUCUCCCACAUUGGUGGGAGAAAGAAGCUUUAAAGUAUUUAUAUUGUGAAACACAUUCCCACAUGGAUAAGUGAGGCAAAGAAUAAGAGAUGCAUCGCGCCGCCGCCAUCGUCGCUCGCUCAGCUUCGAAUUUGGAUUUGGAUUUGGUAAAUGAUCGAUCGAUGAGAUCUAUCUUUUUGGAAAAAUUUUAUUUGAUGAUUCGAAUCUACCAAAACGCAACAGUAUUCUCCAUUUAUGCAUGUAUGCAGCAGCAGAUGCAAUGCUUCAGAAAUUUCGAACUGAUGCUUCUGUAAUUCCGAACAGAACUAAUGCUUUAAAAUAGCUGCACUGUUUUGAAAUGAUGUGUUGUUUCAGAAGGAUGCAAUCCUUCAGCAAAAGGAUACACUAAUUCAUGGAGAAAGAUGAUGUUCAGGGAAAGAUGCAAUCUUUGGAUGAACAGACAUGAAUUUACAAAACAUGUGUAACCUCUGGCAUGAACCAUUGCCUCUUUUCAGAAAAGGCAUGCUUUGGCUUUGGCUUUCCUUGUCUUUCUCUCCUUGUGAUGUUUCAUCUGAUUCACUGUUGGAUUAGCUCCAAGAGGAGCUACUUCAUAGUCCUCCUCUACUGCUUCCCAUAGAUCCAAUGCUUCAAGGUGAAUCAUUAUUCUAAUUGCCCAAGCUUGAUAAUUCUCACCAUUGAAGAUAGGUGGAGUUAGAAAGCUUGUUUCGGAGUUCAUUUUAUAUAAACUAUUUAAGAUAACAGUUUAAACAAAGGUUAUAUAGAAAUAACUUGUGGUCUUAUUCACUCUCUUCUCACAGGUCCCUCAAGAUAGCAAUACUUUGAUACCAAUCUGUUGGAAAGAAAGAACAAAACUUAACCUGCAUAAGAAAAAAAAUAGAACUUGAACUAAGAAGAGAAAGAGCAGAAAAGCUUUGUUAUGUUUUGUUGCUUAUUGAAAUGAUCACAGCCUUAUUUAUACAUAAAAUCAUAACUGAAAAAGCUUAAUUAAAGGAGUAAAAUAAGUUAUCAUAUCUCUAACAUUAUUGCCUAAAGAUCAGCAACUGUUAUAAAAUCAGAUUCUGCAUGAUUGCAGCCUAAACUUAAUCCAACUUUAAAGCUGUAAGCUGAAUUUCAGCAGCUGGUACAGCUAAUCUCCAGCUUUUGAGGCACUAAUCUUAACACCCUGCAAUAACAUCCUCUCUGGCAGCGCAUCUGAUUCACGCAUUGAGAAUGUGAUAAGUUCUCAUCCAACUUAGCUUUUGAUUCUUGGGGUGCAUUUAGCGAUUUUGACCCAAGCCCACCUUUUCUCGAGCAAUUUCGGCAACUAGAUUUACAGAUCUGGCCCUUCUUGUUCAAUUUCGGGCAACCUUCUCAGUUAUAUUUUGUGAUUAUUUGGUUAGUACUGUCUUCAAUUUAAUCAUGCCUGUCAUAUUCAAUACUUUUAGUUCCCAAACUAUGGAAGCUGGAUAUUCAGGUGUUAUGAUUGAAACAAAAGAGAGACGAACAUUGAAAAAAUCAAUAAAGCACAGAUAAACCAGUUGAUAAAGAAAGAACAUAAACAUUCAAAAAAAAUCAAGCUUAAGAUUUAAAAAAAAAAGUAACAGAUCAACCACACUGGCAGGAGUAACCGGUAAAAUUGUUGCCAUGUGACUAGGAGCUUGCAGGUUCACACCUUUGAAAUAGCCUCUAGCAGAAAUGCAAGGUAAGGCUACGUAUGAUACACCCUUGUGGUGGGGCCCUUCCGAGACACUGCGUAUAGUGGGAGCUUUAGUGCACCGGACUGCCCUUUUUUUAUCAACCACACUGGAAAUAGAAAAAGAUGAACUUUGAAAAGAUUCUGCAAAGUACAGAGUUGUAUAAUCGUACCAUGUUAGAGCAAAGAAGAUUUAACAGAUUCAAUGAUACUGCAACUUGUUCCACCAAAAUAACCAAGUGCAUCCACGGAUAUGUCUUUGGCCUAUAGUAAUCCAUGGAUUUCUGCCAAUUCCUCUCAGCUAAAGAAGCAUAUUGCUUUACUCUAUGAAGAAACCUAUUUCCGCCCUUGGAAGAACAUUUUUCUUCUGAUCUUGCUCUAAAAAUUUCAAGCAGCAAUACCUUAGGUAGCAAGCCAACUCAAAGUAUGCAAAUGCAGUUUCCUAUUUCCAUAACUCACCUAGUGACCCAAAGACAGAUAAAGCCUCUCUAAUGGCAUUAUUAGCUAAAUCUCAUGCUUUCUACGGCCUACCUUAGAUCUGCUGAAAGAAUCCUAUUUACGUCAUUUCUCAAGUAGCAUAAAUGCAAAUCUGAUUCUUCAAUAACCUUGUUUACAAUUAUUUUUGCUGACCCAUAGAACCUAAGAGAUUCUCUGCAUUCUAUCUUGGCAGCCUGGAGAACUUGCAUGUAUGCAUUGUGGAGGAUUCCAUGUUCCUUGAGAUUUUCAAUCUUUGCUACCGUCUCUUCUGCUAGGGCUUUCCUGCCAUGACCUAAAUUCAAGUGUAUCAACAUAAUGUUAGUAUGGUCAGCUACUUCCUUAAAUGCAUCUAUUGCAUCAGCGAAAGCAACUUCAGCUUCAUCCAGCUCCUUCCUUUCCAGCCUCUUACGGCCUAAUUCAUUACACACCCAUCCUUUUCUUUUGAUUAAGAUUGCAAGUCUUCUGAAGUAGUAAGAUGUCCAACUAUUUCAUUUCUAGCUUCAUCAUAACAGUUUAAAGCAAUCGAGAGAUUGGAAUCAGCAUCUCCAGUUAUAGUACCUCUAAGAUACUUAAAUAUACCCCCACUUUUCCUUUCAGUUUCUUUCUUUAAAGUUUUAGAAAAUUUAUACGCUGAAGUUCCUUCCAUUUUCACUCCCACAUCAUCUCUAUCAGAGUCGGUAGCUCCUGAAUUUUUUGCCUCUGAAAUAUCUGUCAAUUGAUUAGAGAUUUCCAUUCUGGCAAUAUUUUUCUUAUGCAUCAAGUGCUUACUCUCUAAUGUGCUGCUUUUGCCCUUCUGAUGAAUUAUCCACAAAACAUGCAGAAUGUACAUGGGUGUUUACUUUGGUAUGUGAUUUUUUGUUCUGUUUUCUGCCAUAAUUUUUUGAAAGUGAAUCUCUACUACUACUGCUAGCAUUGCUUCUACUGCUGGCUCUAUCACUCUAGCAGCUGCAGUCCAAUAAGGAACAUGAGCUGCCGUUUUGACUAGACUGUCCAAGCUUCUUCUUGAGCCUUUCAGAACUCUUAAUGAAAAGUUCAAACGAUUUAGCUUGGGCUUCCUCGGUUGAGUUAGGGUGCAAGGGUCAAGUUAUUCAAGAUUACUUAACCAAGAAGACUAGUGAGGUAGAUGGAAAGUCUCAAACAAAGUGAGAGAAGGUUGUGUAUCGACCUGAUUUGCUGAACCNNNNNNNNNNNNNNNNNNNNNNNNNNNNNNNNNNNNNNNNNNNNNNNNNNNNNNNNNNNNNNNNNNNNNNNNNNNNNNNNNNNNNNNNNNNNNNNNNNNNNNNNNNNNNNNNNNNNNNNNNNNNNNNNNNNNNNAAUAAAGUGUCUGACAAAACAUAACAUCUAUAUGGGUGACAAAUACCCAAAAAUACUGAAGUCUGAAUCAAAUCUGAACUAAAUCUGAAAGUCUCUAAAUACUGUCUAAAAUAAGGGGUUGAAGGAACAUGCCUCCAACUAACUUCGUCUAACAAAACUGAACUGAAAUAAUGAAUGAAAUAAAAUAAUAUCGUCCUCGGAUGGAUGAGGACUUACUGCCACUCUGCGUACUGGAAUGUUACUGCUACUGCUGAUCUGGAACUCCUAACUCUGAACCUAUGGUGUAACAUAAAAGAAAGAACCAUAGCGCAAAUGCGUCAGUACAACUGAAAGUACUAAGUAUACGAGUGGGGUAGGCUAAAUGCAAAAGGGUUUACAUACAUGAGCAAUGCUGACUGACUGACUAAUAUGAACGUGAGAGUGCAAGCAUGCAUACAUAGUAACUGAGAUCGUGAAUACGUGAUAUCUGGAUCUGUACACUAAUACAUGGUUUACUGAUAUCCAACGUGACUGAUACUGGAGUUCUGAAUACAUGGAUGACUGUGUCUGAUAGUCCUCAAUCUGAGGGAACUACCUGAGUUCUAUACUAUAACUGAAUUAACUAUAUCUGGCAGUCCUGAUAUCUUAGAGAACUAUCUGAGUCCUUUUACUGAGACUAAUACUAAAAUUAUGGGAGGUAGUUGUUUAACCGACAUGCCUCAAUAACACAUAUAGCUAAGUUGGGGUCCAAUCUCUGCCCCAACUAGAGGGGUGUCAAUACCGCGCCACUGGUAAGGACAACUGUGAGUGACCCUUAGCUGGCAGAUACUCAAAUGAGAACGGUGGGAACCUUAAACUGAUAGGUUAAGCCACCUCAUCAACCCUACUCUGGCAGGUUAAGAUGUCUCAACCUACACUGGCUAUGUAGUUUUGGAACACAAGGAUGACUACUAAGAAUCACACCCUAAACUGCCAGGUGAAUUCCCAUCCUUGGGUUCACUCGGUGCUAACUUUCACUCCCAUCUGAAGAAACUGAAUCAUGAUUUAACUGGUUGUACAUGGACUAAGUAACUGACUUUCGUUGACUGAUGGAAUAGUACUACUAUCUGAGAAUUUAUUGAGAUCAUGAGAUUUCUGAGAUUUCCUGAGUCACAUGACUGACUAAGUUCUAUAGAUCAUGGCUUGACUGAGAUUAUCAUGAUAACGUGACAUGGCUCUAGGCACACAACUAUAUUUUUCGGGUACAAGUACCCCCAAGACUCGAUGGAAGGAAACUGACAUACAUAACUGACUUGAUCAUAAAAAAAAAUGGAGUCCACAAUUUACCAUAUCAUAAGUAGGGGAUUUCACACUAAGCAUAGUUCUCAACAUCUUACAUAUGGAAGGGAAAUUCAUACAACAUGUGUACACUUGCAUAGCUUCAAUAUCAUGCUCAAUCCAUAUCACAACAAUGAUGCAUAUCAAUCACGUAGAAUUCAUGUGAAAUCAUAAAGCAUAGAGCAUGGACUUGUCAUUUAAGCUCUAUUAAAGCAUGGGACACGAAUCUUAUCACCUUAAGCAUUUUAUCCAACACUUUGCAUGCAUUCUUUUAGCUUAGGUGUGUUUUCAUGAAUUUCCCCAUUUUAAACCACAUAAAGUUCAUGAAUUUCAACUAACGACACAUAUACUUCGUGAAAACACCUUUAGAUAUCAUCUUGAAACUUAAACAACAAUCAUCAACAUGUACAUGGUCAUAUCGCAAUAAGACAAUCACAAAAUAAUAUUUAAAACAUGGUUCUUGAGCUCUAUGAAUGAAAUGGAUCCAUAGAUGAAUACUAUGCAUACCUUAGAUGGAAGAUCCGUGAAAAUUUAUGGUGAAAUCCUUUGAAUCUUGAAGCUCCUAUGAAAACCCUAUGGGGUUCUUGAGAGAAUUUUGAGAAAAGAGAGUAUAAUAGGGUUGGAUUGGGUCUAAAUUCCGUGUUUAUGGAAUAUAUAGGGGUGGAAAGAUGAUAGAUAAUGUGCCUCGUUAAAACCUUACUAGAAAAAAUCCAGUAGGAAAAAAAAUCUAGUGAAGAAAAAAAAGUACACAUCUCUAACAAUACGCAUAUAGGCAUCAUUAAAAAUCUUACAAGGAAAACGUAGUAGGACAAAAUCUCAUAAGGGAAAAAGAGUACAACGCGUAUUAACUCCCCCUAAUGAGAACAUACUUGAGCCUUUGCAUCCCGAUCUUGUGCAUCAUCUUCUUGAAAGUUGUAGUUGGAAGAAACUUGGUGAAUAAAUCAGCCAUGUUAUCACUUGAAUGAACCUGUUGCACGUUAAUAUCACCAUUUCUUUUGUAGCUCAUGUGUAUAGAAAAGCUUUGAUGAAGUGUGUUUCAUUCUAUCUCCUUUAAUGAAUCCUCCAUUAAGAUGUGCUAUGCAUGUUGCAUUACCUCCGUAUAAAAUUAUGGGUAGAUUGUCAUAUUCCAUACCACAUUUUUCUCGAAUGAGAUGUAUCAUGGACCUCAACCAUACACAUUCUCGGCUUGCUUCAUGAAUAACUAUUAUCUCAUCAUGAUUCAAUGAAGUAGCUAUGAUAGACUGCUUUGUAUAUCUCCAAGAUAUUGCAGUACCAUCAUAAUUGAACACAUAGCCUAUUUGAGACCGAGCUUUAUAUAGGUCAAAUAAGUACCCAAAAUCAGCAUAACCAAUAAGAUCGGCACUACAAUCUUUAGAGUAAAAUAAGCCCAUAUGUUUGAUCUCAUUUUGAUGUCUCCUAGUAGGAGCAAAACUACACCUUGCUAACAAAUUGACCGAAAAAAGGCUAUGUCAUACCUUGUAGUAUUUGCAAGAUACAUUAGUGCACCAAUUGGACUAAGAUAUGGUACUUCAUAACCAGGGAAUUCCUCAUUCUUUGCUUGAGGUUGAAAUGGAUCCUUAUUCAAUUUUACAUGUUUCUCAUUUAAGCAAAUACUCUAUUGCUUUUGAAGACUCUCCAAGAAUUCCAAUGAUACUGAAAUCAUCAAAUUAUAUCUUAUGAGGAUAAUAAAAAGUUUCCCAGAAACUUUAUAUGCUUCAGGCAUUUUGAAUCCUUUAGGGAUUUUCAUAUGGAUGUUUGUCAAGUAACAAUAUUCAACAUGUCAAGUGUGACAUCUUCAAGUGUAUGGACUGCAAAUCAAAUAAUUUUUACGCUUACCAAAAUGCAUCCUUUCAGGUCACUUGAUAAAUGUUUCUACGUCAGCAUGCUUAAAUUAACGUAGAAUUCAGAUCCUCAUAAUCUUUUACAUUAUUGCGCCAAUAUUGUAUCAAAGAUAUCCUCGACGAUUUCUUAUUUUGUAUCAUUUCACAAUGCGACAUAACAUUUUGAGAUCUCAUCACUUCAUUAUUUUCAGGUACCUAAACCUCUCAUAAAGUUUCAUGAAGUGUUAUGGCGUAGGCUCUUCAAGAGCACGUUGCCUUUUUAUCGUGAUUAUUUGCUCCUUGUCCUUUUCAAGGAUUAUUUCAUUUGGAACCGAUUGGUCUAUCAUGCUUCACGCAUGCAUAGACUUUAUCCUUUAAGGACACAAAAUAGGAGCACUUGCCGCUUAAUAUGAGAUACUUUCGGCAUUUGACUUGAAUUAUCUUUUGAAUGAGAAUCUGAUGAUAAUUCCUAACAUAUUUCAUAGCUUUUUAUAAUCUCCCUCUUAUGUUAGGAAAGCUAACAUACAUCCUUCAUUUUCUUUGAUGGAUCCAUCUUUAUGCAUCAUGGUACAUUCAUUAAUCGAACACCGCACAUCAAAACUAUUAGAUGGAAUAGUUGGUUCCCGAUCUUGAACCAAUUGAGAGAAAAAAAAUAAUCAUAAUUUAUUGGUCUAAUGCAUACAAGUGCUAUUGUAUGCAACAUAGCAUAUUUCAUACCAAGACAUGAAACUUUGUUCUCAUUAGUAAUGAUUCAGCUAUUUAUGAAAGGCAUUCAAUGCUAAACCAUCAUUAUCAAGAUGAAUUAUCUCGAUUACACAAUCUGAAAAUUAUGCUUAAUUUAUAUUGAACAAGUAACUUUAUGAAUGUCAAACGUAGGUUGACCAUGAUGUACAUGUGAUCAUCUUAUUGAUGCAUCUUUUCAACAUAUCACAUGAUAGGUGAACGAGCCCCCUUAUUCACCUUUUAUUCUUUUCAGAUUUUGAGGGAUCCAAUCCCAAAAUUAGUUGGUCCAACCAACUUAUCAUGAGAACAAGCAACAUUAAAGUUCAUCAAGAAUUUUCUAAUUCUUCAAUAUAUGUUCAAUAUUCAGUAUGCACAUCUUCGGAAUAUCGCAAUCGUUUAUGUCAACUUAUGAACUUUUAAUCUAGUAAACUCCAAGUUUAUUAUGAUAUGUGUUUUUGCUUUAGUAAAUUUUAGAUUUUUCUAUUAUAUGAAUAAAUUUCAGAUUUACUACUUCAGAAGUAGAUUUCAAAAUAACUCAUCUCAGCUAUUUUGCCUCUUUCGAAGGUGAGUUGUCAUACCAUCACAAUCAAGUACACGUUUAUAUUAAUAAGCUUCACUAAAUAUUAUCACUAGAAAAUCUAUAUUUAUUUACGUAUAUUAAUGUUGAACCACAUGAAACAAGGCACUUAAAUAGCCCAGUGGUGUUAUUUGCUCUUCUUAGGCGCUUCCUUCAGCCUACUGCGCGGGUUUAAUUUUUUAAUUAAUAAAAAGCUAGUUGCUGCUAUAGAAAUAAAUUAAAAAUUUAUAAUAAUAAUAAUAAUUAAAAAAAACACGACGCCUUUUUAACAAAAAGCAAAACUUUGACAGUGCACAAAUAUGACCUUUAACUAUUCAAAACUGCACAAAUAUGACCUCCCUCCAAGUCAGCCCUUUUAACGACGUGGCACCGUGUGAUUGGAUUACCUUUCCACGUAGGCGCAAGUGAAACUUACGCAUGGGGUUGCAAAAUUGGAGGUCAUAUUUGUUCAGAUUUUGAAUAGUUAAAGGUCCUAUUUGUGCACUAUCAAAGUUUAAGGUCAAAGUUAUAAUUUUGUGUCAAGUUUAGGGUCAUAUUUAUGUAUUAUCUCUACUUUUAAACUUGAAAUUAGGUUCUUGGACUCCAUAGGUGAAAGGGCUCAUGGAUGAAUAUCCAACAUACCUCAAAAGCUUAAAUCUUAAAGGAGAAUAACUUUUCUUGAAGGUUCUUGAAUGAUGACGCUUGGAUUCUUGAGUUUUCUUGAAGAAAUGGCUUGAAUCUUGUUCGUGGGGAAUGAUCAUCAUAGCAACCCUAAUUUUGAUGUUGAGGAUGAAUAAGGAGUUAUAUUGUUUAAGUUGAUGGAAUUUGGGGUUAAAAGGGUGGGAAAAAAGACCCAAAAAUCUCAUUUAAAACGUCAUUCGUCGCUAAAUAGGCUUGGUUGAUGGUUUUGAGUGAUGGACCGUCACUCUGGUGACUGGCCGUCACUUAAUCCGUUAGUUUAUGGCCAGAAAACGGCCUCUUUGCCUGAGGUUGACAGCUUGGCUUGACAGUCCAUCAACCUAGUCGUUGCACCUCGGCAGUCGGACAGCUCUUUGAUAAAACGGGCAUAACUUUUUAUCCCGAUAUUAGAUUAAGGCAAAAUUGGUAUCUUGGAAAGCUAACUCAAUUGUCUAUCUGUUGGUUGGUCAUUAGCUUAACAACUCUUAGUAAUACGAAAUAUAUGCUCAUUUGAAGUUGACUAUAGCAACAUCCUUCUCAAGAACUCAAUCGGUAAGGAGUAUUUUGAUUCGUCCAAUAGAUAGGACUUAUUUGAGGCCUUAAUAUACGCCAAACUCACUCAUUAAAUAGCCAAAGCACUAUAAUUUAUUUCUCAUGAGUUUGAAGUAUGGUUCUUAUAUUGGUUUGGAUUCUCGGGGUAUUACAGACUAAGUCCCCAACACUUAGCGAAGAUUUCAAGCCUUAAGCCCCUUAAGUAUGCAACUAAGAGAACAAUCGAGCUAAGAAUAGUAUGGGGUAUUACAAUUAAUGUCCAUUGAAGAUAUUGUUUAAAGUUUUAUUUACAAGAGGUUACUAAAUGAUGAUUCUCUUUAAGGUACAAAAUUGUGGCAUUCUUCCCGUGGCUACAGAUAUCUAGAAUAGGCUCAUCAGUGUUUUUGAUUUGAAGUGAACUAUGUCAUUCAUAGUUAGAGAGGCCUACGCGAGCUGGAACUCAAAGAAAGUUGACAAAGCCAUUAGGACAAUCUGGAAAAUGGUGUAUACGUGCAUUUUAUGAUACAUUUGGAAUGAAAGAGCCACAAAUUCAAAUUGUUCCCUAAAGGCUACCUGUUUUGUUGGGAUAAACUUUUCCCUGUAAUACAAUAGACUUCUGCAGUCGGUAUUGGGAAAGAGGCAAGGGCACUAUCAAAGUGUACAAUAGGGUGGCAGCGGAAAAAUACUCAAGUCUAAUGUUUCCCUUUCAAUUUGAACCAAGAGAAAAAAAAAUAAACCCAAUUACAAUAGUAAUAUGGCAGCAAAUAAAUCAACCAAAUGAAUAAGACAAGACAAGAAUAAAACUAAUGACACGAGACACCAAAUUUACGUGAAAAAUCCUUCGAUGUGAAGAGUAAAAAAUCACGGGACCAAAACCUCCACUAUAAUCACCAAGAGUUACAAUAUUAUUCUCCGAAAUUGGUCACAAAACAAGUGUCAAACAACGAGCAACAAUACAUAAAUCACAACACCAAAAAUAGAGAAAUAAAGGAGCAAAAGCACGAAAAUGUAGCUACAGUUCAUGGAUGAAAAACAGGAGCUACAGGACAUCAAAUCAACUCCAUCAAUUUCUAAUCAAAUAUUAAGAUAAAAGAAAUAAGUUGUCCAAAAAUUAGCUCAAUCAAAUAAGAAACGAAGCAGAAAUCACAAUUUGAAGAUGUGUGUUGUGGCAGAAAAUUUAGUGCGAAAAUCUGCACUAUUUUGUCUCCAUGGCUGCUAAAACUCUUUUGUGAAUAGUGAAAUAAGACCUAAAAAGAUCUAUAUAUAUGUUCCACAAGUAAUGGACUUAUGGGCAAAAGUGGAUUGGUCCAAAUUAGAUUUUGUUUAUCCACAUAAAAAGAAAAAAAGACUCAUAACCCAAUAGUUGGGCCUUUCCUCGAACUCUGGACUUUGUUAGCUCUCCAGUUGCAAAACUUUCUUUAUUCAUCUUGAUUCGCGUAUAAAUUCUCAAAUCAUAUUAGAGCUCGUCAGAAAGUACUUGAUUUUGUAUAACUUUUGACGGUAAAUGAGCUGUCAAACUCUCUUAUUUGUAAUCACUUUGCAUCUUGUUUAAUGAUAUUUGUAAGUCAUUUUUAUAUGUUAGGAGAAUUUUUAACCAUUUUUACUUGUUUAAUGACCUUUUUUGUCUUCAGAAAUCUAGUUAUUACACUAAUGUAUUUUAAUUCCAUAUUUAUAUGUCAUAUAAAAUAAUACACAAUUUUUCACGUAACUUAUGUGAGUAUUAUCAAUAUGUCUAAGGAGGUCAACUAAAUAUUUCGUUAAAAUGUCAGUAAUUAUUCUGUGAGGUUAUCAUUAAGAACGAAUAUACUUUUCUUGGUACAGAUGAUUUACUUGAUCAAUUGCAAGAUACCAUAACACUAUUCAAGAUCGAUUUGAGGUUAGGGAUAUCUAAAUACUAAACAACGGCUUUUAGGACACGUUAUGAUUUUUACGAGUUCAUUGUUAUGUCUAGUGUUGUACAACCAUGACCUCCCUAAUUUGGAGAAAUAUUGAAUGAGAUUAUUAUGAGCAUCGGAUGGAUUUUUACUUUAAAAUAUUUAAAUUAUUUUUGGAAAUCUAUUAAAUAAUGACUUAAAUUCCUAUCCUACGAAAAUGAAAUUCUUUUACGUAAUAACAACAAAUAAAAGAUAAUCAAUGUAAAUAUAAUGAUUUUUAAUAAGAAAGACUCGCGAAUAAAGAUUAGUGUUAAAUAAUGUGAUAACACUUUUAAAUGAUAUGUCUAAAAAGAAAAAAAAUUCUAUAUCACUAAUAAACUCUUAAAAGAUAGUAUUGUCAAGUGAAAUACAAACAUGUUAAAUUGUAAUGGGUAAAAAUAGACCUAAAAUAAAAUUAUACAUAGACAACAAAUAAUUAAGAGGAAUAAGCUAGUUGCUUUAGUACUUAAUUUUAUCUUAACUAUUUCUUGUUUAUUCCUUAUAAAAAUAGUUCAUUGCUAUAUGAUAUUGAUAGGAUAUCAUUAUAUAUUGAUGAAGUAUCACAGAGGAGAGGACCAAUUCAUGAUAAUGACACCGAUAUCAUGCUAACGACAUACACGAACAUAUGAGCAGACCUAUAAUUACUUUAGGCCACCUGGAUAUUUCCUAUAAUUAAUGUGAAAACGGAAAAAGAAUAAAUAUACUACUUUCUAUGAUAUAUAUACUUUUUGUCAUACUUUAAUUACACAUAUACCUUUAGCAUUAAUAAAAUGAUACGUGUAUAUCUCUCACACUAACGAUAGGGGCAUAUGUGUACCCAAAGUAUGACGGGAGAUAUAUACAUAUCAUUUAUCAUAAUUCAAAAAUAUAUAUGUCCCUUUUCUAUUGUAAUAUUUUUAUCCUAAAUAAUUAACUCAAAUUCACUACCUGACUGAAUAAACCCCUCGAAUCUGAUUUCAAACCAACUUGACCCAAUCUCUAUUUUUUGUUCCAAACCCGAUGCUCCCUCUGUUUUUAUACUCAAACGUGAACUCCAAUCAAAUUGUAGUGAUUGAUCGUUGUUGCUUGCUAGUGUGUACUAGUUGGAAGGAGUGGAGAUUAGACCGAAGAUGGCUAGAGCUAGGGGUGCGGCAAUGAUUUAAUUUGCAGGUGGAGUGUUUUAGAUUCGACGAAGACGGUGGCUAUAUUAUGUUGAUUGGUGGUGAAUAGUAUUUUUUCAACGGAAUUUUGCUGAAAAUUAAAAUGUGAGGGGUUCAAUUUAUUUGGUGUUAUUUUUUGAUAUUAUGAGUUAACAAUUUUUUUUUAUUAUUGGGAAAUUGAUAGUAAUGGGUGUUAUUGUAUUGUUUGUAAAUAUCAUAAUAGGAGUGAUGUGUUUGUUAGGGAAGUAUCUCUUUGAUUUUAAUUGGGGCCAUGUCGGAUAGUGAAUUUAUUGAGUCGGAUAGUGAGUUUGGGUUAAUUAUUUAGGUAAAAAAAAAUUAAAAUAGAAAAAAGACAUAUACUUCUGAAUUAUAAUAAAUAGUAUGUAUAUGCCCUCCGUCAUACUUUGCAUACACAUAUGCCCUUAUUAUUAGUAUGAGGGGAAUAUACGUGUCAUUUCAUUAACGGUAGAGACAUGUGUAUUCAAAGUAUGAUGGAAGGUAUAUACGUAUCAUUCAUCAUAGUUCGGGAUAUAUUUAUCCCUUUUUCGAUUUGGAAAAGGGAAAUUUCAUGUAAUUAAUUUUGUUUUAUGUUUAUUUUUUUUCCCUCAAUUCAUCUUUACUCAUACAUUAUUGACUUACACUUUACUUAAGAAAUAAUAGAAUAAUUUUAUUAUAUCACUUUUUAAAUAUAAUAAAUAUAAUGCUUUAAAAAAUAUAUUGGAUAAUUAAAAUAUUUAAUAAUAAAAAUAAAAUAAAUAUAAAUGAUAAAUUCUCCACUAAUUUUUAAAUUAAAUAAAUAUUGUUAAAUAUUUUUUUAAAAAAUUAUUUUGAACAAGUGAAAGAGUAAUCGUUGGCUAAUAAAGUUGUUCUCAAAUAAACAAAAUAUACGGGGAGAAAUGUAAGGUAAAGCGGUUAUAAUAGACCUUUUAGUUUUCAAAUUUCAGGUAUAAAUAGUACCUUAAUGUACCUAACUCUCUGUUCCCUCUCCACUUUCAUAAUCGUAGCAAGCAUUUCUGGUGUUUCUCCAUUUGAACGUCAACCCCCUGCAAGAGGUCACUAUAACAGUUUCUAUUUUUCUCUUUGUGAUUCUGAAAAUUUUAAAUGAUUUUCUUGUGAAUAUGUUGUUAGUUUUCCUUUUGAUUUUUAAGUUUCAUAUAGCACGUUAAUAUGCACAAUUCAGUAUGAUUUUUCUUUCACCCUUACGCUGUUUAAUCGUCAUUCUAUCUAUUUAUUUAUAACUGUGGUGCUUUUUAUGUUUUGGCAGUGUAUAGAAAUGAACCUGAAUAAUAAUCAGUCAAAUGUUUUAAUAAGAAGGGGUAUUAUAUUGGUUCUGGACUAUAAUAUAUUUUUAAUCUUUAGUGGGUCUUGAAUAGAUUUCUUGAGUGUCUAACGGAAACUUUUCUGCCUCUAGAGAAUGGCAAGUUUUGCGUACAUUCCUCGAGUCACAUUUUGUGAGACUAUGCUAGGUAUGUUGUUGUUGUUGUUGAAUCUUGCAUAGAUUUCUUGAGUUGAGCGUCAAUGGAAAAUUAAACAACCUCUUUAUACCUUUUAAUUAGGGGUAAGGUCUGUGUACAUUCUUAUAUGUUGUUGGAUUUUGAAUAGAUUUCUUGAAUCGAGGGUCUAUUGGAAACAACCUUUCUACCUCUAAGGUAGGAGUAAGGUCUGCGUCCAUUCUAUCCUCCCCAAACCCCACUUUAUGGGACUACACUACACUGGGUAUGUUGUUGUUGUUGGGUGUUGAAUAGAUUAAUUAUUUGUACGUGUUAUAUGAAUUUUGUCAUACAAAUAUAGGGUUCUUACGUUAUGUCCAGUCCUAGUUAUCUAUCGUGAUAUCGUGGUUUAACUCGCCUUGAUCGUGUGUUUGUCCUCUUAAUAAUGAACACCAGCAAGUGUUGGAUCCUUUUCUGAAUUGAUGGUGUAUUUAUAUCUGUUUCUGCACAAAUGGCAUGUUCUAGGAUUUCAUUUUGAGCUAAAGAAAUUGUACGUGUCAUGUUGCACGCGAACAAGGGCGGAUUUACAUGGAGGGUUGGGGUUCACGUGAACCCAUGCUCCCCUCCUGAGACUGUAUAAUAACAAUAUUUAUCAUGUUAAAUACUUAAAUAAGUUUAUGUAAACAAGCUUAUGUGAGCUCAUUUGUGCUGCAGUCAAUGGAUCAACUCCCACUUGCAACUUUUUUAAGAAAAAUUCUUCUGUAUCAAUAUUGUUUCCUUUUCUUUCUAGGUUAUUUUAUUAUAUCUCUCUAAUGUACAUUUUUGAAUCGCUUUCUUUGAUAUUCUCUUCAUUUGGGUUCCAAAAAAUUCAAAUACGAUACAUAAUAAAUAUGUUCACUUCAUACCUGCACGGUAGAAAUUAAAGAAAAUUUUGCAAAAUUAUUAUCUUGUUUGUUUGAAGACAUUAAAUCUGAUUGUUUUAAUAAAAUCUAGUUUUAAUUUUUCUUCUGUUGCAAUGUAUCCAAUCGUGGAACAAACAAUUAUGAAUCAAGGAUGCUAAAAAAAUAAUGGCAUUGGUGUUUACACCAAGCUAAUAAAUACAUGAAAUGUGUCUUCAUAUACAUUUUUAUCACUAACAUUAAUUAAUUUCACAUCCUCUCCUUGAUCUACACCUUAAUUAGGGGUGGGCAUGGUAUGGUAUAUAUAUACCGAAUAUCAUACCGAAAUUGAAAUUCUUUAUACCGCGGUGUUGACACCUAAUUUUUGUCCUCCAUAACUAAGUUUAAUUCGGAGUUUCUUCGAUUUUCAAAUAAAAUUACAACAUUUAUUUUAUCCGAAUAAAGGAUUUUCAAAGUAUUUAUUUGGGUAAAUUGGUCAUUUAAAGUAGCGAUUAUAUAUUAUCGUGUUCAAUUAUACGAAAUUUUAUAAUUUUGUUACUUAAAAAAUUAUUUUUACAAAAUAUCGAAUUUUAGUCUAGGCUUAUCUUGAAAAUAAAUUCAAAUGAUUAAGAUCUUGAUUUAAAUAUAAUUUCUCUAAAAACUAAUUUAUUUGGAUAAAUAAUUAUUUAAUUUUAUUAAAUCAAGAAACUUGGGAUUCAAGGAAGUAUUAGUUCGUAUCGAAUUUUAAUCUAAUUUUGCCAAUCUAUUAAAUUUGACCAUAAUUGAAAUCAAAUUGGCCAUAAUUGCAAUGCGAUUGACCAAAUAACUUUCAAUUUGAUUAAAAUUUAAAUAGAAUGGGCUAAACUAGAAUUGAAAUAAAUUUUUUUGAAUAACCCCCAGUAAAACCCAAUCUAACCCAUCCAGCCCAACUCCAACAGCAUAGCCCAUCCUUUCCCUUCUUUUUUCACAAAAUAAUAUGUUAACAAUGGCCCAAACACUUAAAACCCCAACCCAGUCCAAGAAAUACUCCAACCCGGCCCAACUCAUUUUUCUUCUUUGUCCAUCAACACCAACAUCAACGAUGGACAACCUUCAACAUCGACAUCAGCAACCUCGAGAAUCCAAAUUCGAACAGCAACAAACCGCCAAAACCCGACCCAAUUGCAACCCAUGUCAACAAUAUCGGUGUCGACAACGACCAUAUUAGCGAAAACCCGACCCAAUUUUGAGCGCACGCGUCUUACGCGAUAGUAGGACGAGAAAAGAACCCAAGAAGCUUCCAGAAUAAGUCCAGGUGUCCUCUC